ACUUAUAUCUGUACUUUAUACUUCAAAACGAAGGGAGUAUAUUACAUUUUUGAACAAAUGAAAUAUAUUAAUAUCAUUUGGAGAUACCAAUUACACCCAACAUCUGCAACAACGAAAUGUCCGGAUGCACACCAGGCAAUCUCAUACAUAACCAGUGAAGACAGCGAACUCAUUUCCACCGUAUCUACCACUCUAAUGUUAACAAGAACACCUUUAUAAAAAAAACAAGAACACCGCACUCCACGAACUACAUAUGCAUGAUCCGCCCUGAAAGUGAAACGGACUGAACCUUUCCAUAAACCUCCAGCACACAAGCUCCUUAAGUGUAAGGGCCCAUGCCGAUGCUGGAGCCGCCGUAUGGAGCGCCGCCGGCGGCAUCCCGGGAUUUGGAGUAGCUGAUGUAGUAGAACUCGCUGAGGAUGGCGGUGAAGAAGGUGAAGGCUGCACCAGCAGCGAAGACGCCCUUGCGCAGCGUCUCGCAAGAGAGCGGGUCGCCGUUGAAGAUCCCCCUGUACCGGGUGUGGUAUGCAUUACGGACUGAUCCUGCCAGCAAACACGCCGCUGCGACGAGGAAGGUCAACCUGCAAAUGGGAAGCAAUCAUAUGAAAAUUUCUCUGGGAACUGCAAGUGGAAUGACUUGGUUGAUACAUUACGUCAUUAUCUACUUUUUCCACAUUACUACAAGUUGGGCGCAGAUCCUGACUUCUAAGCCACCUGACUUGAGUCAGAGAACCUAAACGAAACCUCUAGGUACUGAAAAACAUUUGGUCGUGACACACAACAGCAAUAAGGUGAAAGAGCAUCAAGUUCAAGUUUCAGUAUAUGUAUCGAGGGACACAAGAAGGAGCAGUCAGAAACAGUCCAAGACGUGAAACCGGUUCCAAACUGGUGAGAAUGGUCAGGCAAUGGCAUGUCUAAAUUAGUUCAAGGCUGGGCUAGCUCAGGAGGACACCAAGGAAGCGAAGCCCAAUACAUGAUUUCAAGGAAGAUCAGAUAAAUAAUUGAGCCACACAGUGCUAAAAAAAACUGAAGUGGUUCGACAGUUCAUUGAAAAACUUAACUGAAGCAUGUGCUCUCACCUCUGGCCAAAAGAGAUGAGCAUAUAAACAUGUUGUCACUAAUUUACUGUAACGGUACAGCUGUUGGUAGUGGUUAGCACAGCUACACAGGUAUGAAAUAACAAAUAAGAGGAUACUACUACAGAAGGUCUCAUUAGCAUUAGAGGAAAGAAAAAGAGAACUGCUACACAAAUGAGGAGCUUUUCUACUACCUGCAGGGAAGCGGGUGAUGGAGGUGAAGCUGGAGACAGGCUCCCAGCGGUGGGAUCAAUUCAAGGAGGGGAUGGAGAUUAUGGAGGAAACAUAGAAGAAGAGGAGGAGCUCAAGGCUGCGGAGUGCGUAGAAAAAGGAGCAACAGUACCAGUUCAAUAAGAGCAACUACUCCUACUAUAAUACAGUACUAGUUCUGUGCCAAAAUUUGGUUCAGUCAAGAGAUUCUAUACCCAACUUAUAACAGAUCUAAGGUACCUGCACAAUUCUGCAUCUCCAUAACAGAACUGUCAACAACUACUAAAUUUAGCACAAACAGAGAACCCUCAACUGUUCAGCCUUGGCAAAUACUACCGAGCAUGGUAAAUUUUGAUCUUGGCAUCAUUCCAGGCUGACCAAAUUAGGCCGUGAGGGGGCACCCACUUCAGAAGGCAGUACGACUCUAGUAAAGUAUUAAAGUAAUUCUUGGCUUGAAAUCAAUAGCCAACCCAACACGAAACAAACCAGCAGCAGAAUCGACACACACACACACACACAGAUCUGAACCCCAAUCUCAACCUCACCUUAGAUCUGAAGUGAGGUCUAAACUUUGGCUCAAGCGCCAUCGGUAAAUUCAGACCACAGGGCUAGAUCUAAUCAAUUUCAAAUUGCUGUAAAGGCGGAAAACUGAACUGACGACCACAAAUGUCAGAAGACAAACGAGAGGAAAGGAAGCUUAACUUAAACACACUGUGUAAAAUAAACAGUUUACCAUGAGAAGAGGAAGAGCAUGAGGGCGCAGGCGCGCGAGCCCCCCGGCUUGAGCCCGCGGCCGCAGCAGAAGCAGCGGCUGGCGAGCAUGACGACGGCCUGCGCGGCGACGAGGAGGAGCAGCGCGCCGACGCCGUAGCCGGUGGCGACGUCCGAGUCGUAGACGCAGUAGUCGUACUCCUUGGCCAGAUCCGGCGUCACCGUGGCCUUGCUGCGGCGCUGCUCGGCGGCGACGGCGAGGCCGAAGGCGAUGAGGUUGAGGAGCAGGGCGGACACCUGCACGAGGAUGGACGCCAUUGCCAUUGCGCUCUGCCUCUCCGAGGUGGUUGCUUGCUCUGCUGGGGAAAGUGAGGUGUGGAGCGGGUUCCGUGUCAAGUUAAAAGGUCGCGGCUUCGUGUCGGUGACGCCGGCGUCGGCGUGGAGCUGGUGAGUGCGAGCUGGCUAACACAGACUCAGAUCUGGGGUUGGUGCUUCCCGAGAAGAAAAACAAUUGAUCCGGUUAGUUGGCUGGGGAGGUGAGUGAAGUGGACUGCGUGCCUAACGGCAAGGGAGCGUGGAGCACCGCCCCGAAUGGCCGCGACCAACCGAGAACGGACGUUUCGCUCUCGGCCUACAUGGAGGCGUCUUUUUUUUUUUGCAAAAUUCAAACUUUUUGCAAAAUGCAAGUAAAUAAGGGUGUUACCUCCUCCGUCCCAUGAAAAAUGUAUAUACAUAAAUUUUAGGACAAAUUAUGAAAUGGAGUAAAAAAAAUGCAUUUGGACAAAUUAUGUUUCUUUGUUGCGGGCCGAGUGUUUGGGCCGGGUGUGUGCGCGCCGCUCGAUCCACCUGGAUCCAGCGCCCUUGUUUUGCGCCACGUCCCCAUUACUCUCACCGCUUGACUCACAUCCUUGUCUCUUCACCACGCCUCUCUUCCGCUCGUCCAUCCCCCUGUUUUCACUUUCGCUGCGACCGUCAUGAAAGAGUCAAAGCUCGCGCCCCUCCCCCUUCUCUAUGCAUCUCUUCGGACCUCCCCCGGCUGUCGUAGGUUGCCACAAAGCCAGCACACACCGCCACGCGCAGCUACAUGGACAAAACAGGGUGUCCGGUGUUGCAAACCACAAUCCCAGUGCACAAGAACAAGAUGCUGCUACCACGUCUUAUAGAGCUAGAAUUGGCGCAGCGAGGUGCUACAACCAGCACGCGCCCGUGCUUCAACCAGCACACAACAAUGCUGGGAUGACAUGUCGAGCUGCUACGAACUGGAGCGUGAAUGGCGGCGACACCCACUGCCAUCCUACUACUACAACCAUGGUUGUCGACUAUUGUGUUCGGCGAGGACAAAUGCUACAUCAGUCCACGUCGAUGUUCUCACCUGCAUGGGGACGGCGCCGUGAGAGGUGCUAGAUCUGGCGAGGGUUUAUUUUUUUGGAACCGACAAGGCGGAUUGCGGGAAACAACAAAGUUAUUGUCUAGAACCAGCAAAACGGAUUGUAGGAACUGUGGUUCCGGAAUGCUACCAUGACGACUCUCUGAUGCAACAUCCAUGAUUGCCAUGUGAUGGAACCGUGGUCACUGGAUGCUACAUUCAUGGUCACCACGAGCUGGAACCGUGGUCACCGGAUGCUACAUCCAUGCUCACAACAAGCUGGAACCGUUGUCACCAGAUGUUGCAUCGACACCCACCAAAUGCUGGAACCAGCAGAGACGAGUACUGGCAACCGGUGAUGUUCCAGCCAUCGGCACACUGCAAAGGGGUUCAAGACGGCGUCGCGGCGGGGCAACCACGACUACUUGAGGCGCUGCUAUCAUGGACGACCAGCUCGGGGCGCGGUGAUUUUUUACUGGAUUCAACAAGCGCGGCGCGAUGGAGGUGGAAGAAGACGUCAAACGUUUACGCGUCACUUCAAUCCACUUUGAUUUGACGGUUAGGAAAGAGCGAAUACAACGGGCAGGGCCAGUCGGAUGACCGGCGCCUAGUAGUCGCCAUAAAAACCAUUUUGUGCACACAAUUUGGUAGUUCGCAAAUAGAUUGUCUGCAUUAGGGAAGCAAUUCUUCCACAACGCUUGGUUGACUGGACUGAGUUGAUGCGCUACACGAUAGUACAAGAAGCAAUAAAAAUGACAUCCAUGUCUGUAGACCACCUAGCGACGACUACAAGCACUAGAGAGAGCUGAAGGCACGCCGCCGCCAUCGGCCUUGCCUCACCGUAGCCAGGCAAACCUUGAUGUAGUAGAAGUCAGGAAGUCGUCGUGCUAAAAUCCCAAAGGACCAGCACAACAUAACAACAACUGUCGCCGAUGAAAAGAAGCGUAGAUCAGAAGGAUCCAAUCUGUAGAAGCACAAACAUAGACGAACCAUAACCGAAUCCAAGACGAUCCACCAAAGACAAGCACUGACCAAAUCCCUCGAGUUCUGCCAGAGACACGCGUUCACACACCCUUCGAUAAAGCUAGAUGCACCACCCGAAUGAGGACUAAGCAGGGAGAACUUCAUUUCAUCUUCAGAGAGACGUCGUUGUCUCAUCUUUCUGAGCACACAAACCCUAAACAAACCUAAAGAAACGCCUAAAGACGAAGCAGGAGCCCUCCCGCCGGCAAGGGAUGGGAUCCACAGUGCGGGAAACCCUUACGUGGGAUUCGCUCAUGGAAGGAACAUGAUGAAAAUGUUUUGUGGCCUUCCACGCAACCAACAAAGCUUUAGCAGCCAAAAUCAACGCCGGCAUAAUGGAGCUGUCAAACCGAGGAUGUGAUGUACGGAUUUGUUGAUUUAAAAUGAAUUUUGUUUAAUGUGGCAAACUAAAACCGAGUUCUUUGAUGCUACAACACUUUUCAAGUUGAUCUUGCUGCAUAUGUCUUGCAUUGGUUUCACACUUUUGGUGCAUAUGGUAUUUGUACGGUGUUACAGUAGUUAAAACAGUACGUUGCCUAAUACAGUAGUAUCAAUUUUCUGUUGCAUUGAGAUGUUUCUUAUUGCACCAAGUUUUUAUUGGCAAAAGGAGGAGAAAAUACGUGCGAAACGUCAGGCUCCUAAAUCUGCAGGAAGAGAGAAAAGGAUCAUCCAGGAUAUAAUGACCGAGCCUGUGAAGUACUGAUAGACAGUGGACUUGCAGCACUUCGGCUCAUCAUUUCCUGCCUCAGCCAAUAUGAAGCCAAGCACAACAUACAUUUCUUUUUAACAAAGUACAACAUACAUAACGACUGGCAGCAGAGCCAGGUCAGCUUAGCUGUGUUCUGCCUCUCACAAGUAUCCUCAGCAUCCAUUUAUUCGGAAGAUGCCACACAUACCUUCAAAACCUGCCCGGUCAAUAGGGAAUACUACUAGUAAUAUUUACUAGCACCACACGGGGCUCUCAGGGAAGACGAAUCUCCUGGACUUGCAAUCUCCCUCGCUGCUGAAGCUCAUAGAGCAUGAGCAGUGCGGCGGAAUCCAUCGCGCUCUUCUUAUCCGCAAAGCAAUCCCCUGUGAGGCUGAUCACAUCACUAUUCGGUAUGUGCAGUUUUAUGGUUGACGCGAAGGUGAACCCUUGACCUUGAGGCGUAGGCGUGCUAUCACGGAAAAUGGGUAGAUUUAGCUGGUCAGUUUACACAAGCUACCUAGAAGGACACUCAUCAGUAAUCACAGGGAGAGACAGGUUUGAGGCAAAAGUACCUUUGUUCUACCUUCGCACAAUCGAAAUUGGGAGCUGGCCAUUGUAACUUUUUGCAGAACUCAUACAGUCCUGCACGGGGUCCUCCUUUGCUCAUUCUCACCGGCCAGUCCACUGCGUAAGUGAGACAUUAUACACAGUUCCACUGAGUUGACAAGAACUCGUGCUUGGGAUGACAAACAAAACAUACCUGGUUUAUCAAGACUGGCAGCUAUCUUUGAUCCAGCUGAUCGCUUUCCCCUGGUUGGUGUUGAAAGUUGUAUAUCCAUUGCAUCAAAAAUGUUACGAUGAUCCUGGAACUGUUGCGUGUUGCUUGCAUUCUUUGGUACUAUAAGUCCUUCCUCCUGCAGAAGAAAAUCGAACAUUGAUGGGUUGAACUGCUGGACCUUGAAAACAAAACGAUGUCAAAAUAGUGAAAGCACAAAACAGAAAACGGGUACCUCAAGGUCCUUGAGUAACAUGGAAGCUGCAUGUGCUUUAGCAUCCUUUUUGCUCUUGCCACAACCUUGCCUGACAAGGAGCGUCUCCUUGAGUUGCACAUCCAGAGUAGCCUCUAUUUUGUCUCCAUCUGUACGCUUAAUUCCAUCUGUACACUUAAUUCCUAGAAAGUACCCACUUUUGUUGCACCAUUCGAGAAGCUCUCUGAAGGGAGGUAACUCCAGCUUCUCAGGUGUAACAAUAGGGGAAAGAAGAGGUUUGAAAAUACCCCAAACUACCUCCAAAUCAAGUUUUCUAUCUAUAAGAAUUGCACCCGCAAUACUUUCUACAACAUCACCCAGAACCUGCAGGGCAAAAGAAAGAAAACUAUGAUAUUAAUAUAGAUAGGUGGUCAACUACACUAGUACACGACGAUUCUGGAAAAUGAAACAGAAGGUGAAUAAAAAAAUUAACAACAGUAAUACCCAUAAAUAAAAAAUGUGACUAAUAAUCUAUUUAGCCAUCUUGAGUAAAUCAUACACAUCGAAGGCAAAGGAAGAGAAACAUACCUUAGGCCCUCUUAAUGCCGCAUCUGAUAAAAGGUUGAGUUUGUCCGUGGAAGAAUUCUCUAAACUAUCCACAUAUUCAGUAAUAUUUUCUGGUAAUUUCCCAGAAGAAUGCUGGAGAAACUGAUAUAACUUAUGCUUCACUGCGAGUUGUGCAAAAUUUUCAUUGUUUACUGAUGCAGACCGUAAAUCUGUCAGCUCCCCCUCAUCGGUGUCUUUAUGACUAGAGAAAAGAUGUCGUGUUAAAAGAAUAUCCAAGACAGCAUCACCAAGGAACUCCAGACGCUGGAACAAAUAGACGCAUUCAGUGUUUUCCAGUAAGAAAAUUGAAUAAUAAAGAUUUGAAAACACCCAACAUGAAUAGCCAGCUAAAUUAAAUUUAAUGCUAACAUCAGCCAUUACCUCGUAGGAAUAUCCUUCUGCUGAUUCCUGCAGUGAUGGGUGGGUAAGAGCUUCUAGCAGAAGACCUUUCAUCAAAAAUACAUAGCCUAGUUUUGCUUCAACCUUUUCAAUUACAUCAUUUUUUGGAAGAUAAGUCUGCACAGAUGCACUCAAGAACUGACCAAUCAAUUCUUCCUCAACUUCAACAUUAAUUCCCAACCAUUUGAGAACAGCCAUAGCUGCUCUUAAGCCACCUUCUACAUAAUAUGCACCGAUUAUAGCUUCGACGCAAUCAGAAAUUGUUUUGGAACACAUCCAUCUGUGUCCCUUAUCACACAGCUGGCCUACUUUCACAUUAAUAUCCUCAGUGACAACCUCAGAAUUUACUUGGCAAUUACAAGGAACAGGAUGAAUGGAGAGCUGUCCUGGUGCAAGCCAUCGACGAGGAUCAAAUGCAGCAUCACGUAUAUAACCCUAUGAAUCACAUGCCACCAGUUACAGGAUUAGUCUGUGAUAAUGUUAACAGUCCACUUAACAAAUGCAACAUUUGUAUAGAUUGCCCAGAAUGAGAUACAAUUUACCUGUAUUUUGUGUUCAAUUCCAAACCCAUAAAGUGCAGCAUUAGAUAUUAUAUCAACCCUACUGGAUGUUAACUGCCCCUCAUCCAUGUUAGGAAAUUUUAGGAAAAGGUGACAACUAACGACAUACUUCAACACAGAAUCUCCCAAUAAUUCCAGACGCUCCAUUGAGAAGUCUUCAGAGCAUCGAAGAGUUGUGAUAGCUUCUAGAAUCUGAAGUGCAUGUGCAAAUUUAUUAUGUCCAUUUCAUGGAACACAAUAAACGUAAUGUAUAGAAGUGAUAAAAAAUACUAAUGCCGAUUUCUUACCAGAAAGCUUGAUACAUUAGAAUCGUCAUAUGAAAUUUCACUCUUUAGUUGACUGGCUAGCAUUAAUGCCUCUAUACGAUGCAUCAAAGAUGGGAACAAAUAAAAUGUUCUUAAAAUGUCAUCAGAAAAAUUAAGGGGAAUCAGCAACUCUGGGGGCAUGUGAACACGGUUGUUUGCCUUAGUUAUAUCUGAUGUGCCACCCUUUUUCUUCUCACCGUUACCUAGAAAAGGCAGCGAGCAGACAUGAGGCUCAUAUAUAAAUAAUCAAGCAAAGCAUGAACAAUGAGGACAAGAUAUAUGGCGAAUGCACCCGUCUAAUUAAAUGAGCUCAUUGUUAAUCAUGUUUGAUGCAUGAAAAACGAAGAUGAUUUAUGUAAUAAUUCUUCAAGAAACUACAAAGUGACUAAAACUGAAACUGGCUACAGAGGGAAAGACAAGGACCUUCAUCUCUGAGCUUCGAGGAAAGAAUGUUGUGAGGCCUAUGACUGGGUUUCAGCACUAGUAGUGGCUGUGAGGGAUGACGAAGAACUAUGCCAUACCUGCAAAUGAAAUAAAUUAAUUUAACAUAUUAUGCUUGAGCAAGCACAUGAAUAUGUGCAGUAACAAACAUACUUCUUCUCAAAGUAUUCUGCAAAGGUGCGGAACUCUGUUCCUUUUUCAUCUGAUACACCAUCAAAUGUGCUAUUGGCAGAUAGAUCGGCAACAUGAAGAGCAGUAUAUAUCUUUCCUGUGUGGACUGCCAGCACUACCACAUUUCUAAGGAAAUGAGUCUCACAUGAAGUGUUGGCGAAAUGAAUUAGAUCUUCAUCAUUUUGGUCGAAAUCAAGUAUUCCCUGUAUGUUCAUUUUUUCUUCAGAAUAAAUCUUCCUCAAAAGUUUAACAGCUGUUGCGGCUUCAUCAAUCACUCUCCAGUUGAUGCAUGUAAUAUCAUGGGACUCCACAGUAGGAUCCAUAGGUAAAAUCAAAUACAUAUUUGGAUUAUUCCAGAUAAACGUGUCAUCUUUAUUGAGAAUAAACUCCCGCGGAACGUCGGAUGAUUUUGAUCCAGUGAACAACUUUCCAAACAAACCAUUGAACAGAAGUGCUUGAAAUAGCUUUGCUUGCUCCAUCUACGCGAGGAAAACAGAAUGAAUCUUUCAUAUGUUAAUCAAAAGUGACAAAAAGAACAGGGAUAACAAUGGUAGCAAGAAGAGAACACAAACUUGAGCAGACCUGUUGAACAUCCAACUCAAAAAGGCCACAAGGAGAGACUGAAGCUUUCACCAUCUUGUCAUGUAGAAACAGAUCAAUAUCCAAAUUAGCAGCUUCAUGUGCUAUAGUUUUAUCAAUUAACAGAACAAAAUCGGAGUAUUUCUGACCAACUUGGUCACAAAGAAAUUUCAUUCUGUAGCCUUGAAGCUUAACAGCAGUUCUCUCUGAUGCCCAGGUACCAGACAACCCACAUACUCUAGUUGUACCAUGUAGCUCCUUUCGUUUGGUUGUACCUUCGUGGAGGCAAUAAAAGAUUGUCAUCAGAAAUACAGGUUCCUUUUUAUCACAAUUAACUCAGGAAUAAAUAUUUUGUAAAAAUAUACAACAUUUAGAGCUUAGUAAUAACUCACCUACACCAGCCAAAGAUGUGAGAACGUCAGUUUUGUUCACAGAUUCCAGUGGUGGCUCUUCAACAGAUAGACAAAGAGAGUCAGUAAGUACUCCUAGCUGAUGCAGCUGCUUACAUGCAUCAAGACAAACAAGCUGUUUUGCUUUCUUCUUGUUUCUUGCUUUUGGACCCACCAAAGGUGGCAACAUGUCACUAGAUGGUAGUGUUAACGUACACACAAAACCAUCACCGUGGUUGGUGAACUCAAACAAAGGUUUUGUGGUGUCGUACCUGUGACAUGUUCAGAAAUGUAAGAACGUGAAAUUGGAGCCCUCCACACAAAAUGACAACUGGUAUCGCAGAUUUACAGGUGUAAAAUGUGUAGCCAAGAAUAACCAGACUAAAAAAUGCGAUCACCAUACUUGUCUCCUGGAAGCUUGUCACAGUAUUGGACGAUAACACUAACGCUAGAACCAGCAGUUACUUUUGCUCCGGUUGUGCCUACAAGGUAUUCAUUUUUUUCUUCAACUGGGAAGAAACCAGGGAGUAGAUCCUCGGAAUCUCUGUUCAAAGCAGUCUCAACCAUUGACUUCUCGCUUCUCAAAAUGGCAGAUAUCAAAUUAUUUUGUUUAACAUUUUCCCUGCAAAGAACAUCGCAAUUAUAGCUUCUUUGUUUUCCCUUUUCACCAUUCCUUUUUGCAACCAUUUAACACCACAAGCAUAAAAAAAUCUAGAAUUAACAGCCAAGUGAAAAUUUUACCUUUCAAUCAUUAGUAUGUACUGAGAGUCCUUCUGGCGUGCUCGUCCACGUGACUGCAUAUAACUACGGGUAGUCUUUGGCAAAUCAAAUCUUAUUACACACGAGCAGUCUGUGACAUCAAUACCCUCUUCUGCGACAUCCGUAGUAAAUAGUAAGUUCACCUACAUUUAGUCCAGAAUGGGAAGACAAAGAAAUGUCAGAUCACAAGGACCAAGUUUCCCUUUCUCUAAAUGUCGACAGAAUCUAACAACCUUUCCAGAGCGAAAUGAAUCCAGUGUGUCCUUUUGCAUUUUAGGGGUCAGAGCGUCCACUGAAGAACUCCCUCCAGUAAGAGAAGAAAAUGUAAAAUGUGAGAGGUGUCCAAUUUUCUUCAUUGUCCGUUCCAUGGCUCUAGCAGUGAUCUUUCGAUCCACAAAAAUGAGGCAUCGGACAUGAUCACAGUUGCUGCUAGGAAGAGAAGCAUGUCAUGUCAGUGUAAAGGAGCAGAAUUAUGUCAUCAUGUGAGGUAAAACCGUAAAAGUAGCGUAUUUACCUGAAAGAGUGGAAGAUUUGGAUGAGUUCAUAAAGCUUUGGUGAAAUAUAACCCGUCUUAAUUGCUUCCACACAUCCACUCUCAGAAUUUAGAAGCACAUCGCUACCUGAAAUGACAGGAACUCAUUACAGAUGAUAUAUCAUACUUGAUCUAGUGGUAAAUGCUACAUUUAUUUAAUAUUCUUCGGCCAACAGUUUUGCAUAAUAGUGUAAGGCUGCAAAAAAGAUCAUCGGAAUAAUAGGGUAUUGCUGGUUUUAGUUACACAUCAUCACACCUUGCUGGAGGUGCUUGUCAAUUAUACAUGACAUAUCCUCAAAGAACUUCAGAUGAAGCACUGAAAUUUCUGCAAGCAGGAACGAGCUAUUUGCAACACUUUGAAUAUUUGUGGCAUCAGAAGCUUUCUUCAGCCAACCUUUUCUCUGACCCCUUUCAAUGUAGAUUUUGGUGGCCUACAAGGAACAUAAAGUAUUAACUAUGGCGUGAUGCCCUAAAUGUCAAAUAGUGAUUAAAAAAUUAAGAUAAAAACUGCAUUACAUGUUACAUGAAACAUUAGAACCAAUGAAUCUAAGAGAUACCUCACUAGCACAAAGAAGACCAAUAUCAUCGAUGCAAUACAGGAUUUUGGCUGAAGAAUUGGAUAGACGCCUCCGUGAUUCUUUAGCUAUUUCAUCGGAUUCUUUAUUCUGGCAGUUAGGCUUAUUCUGCAAUGUAGUUAUUAACGCAUCGUACUGCACGAACAAAAAUUAAUUGUCCUCAGAAAUAAAAUCUCGAGCCACUGAACUUCAGUAACAUAUACUUAAACAGUAGAGGAGGGACUAAAAUGAGAGACCUCAGAAUGCAAAAGUCCCAACUCUUCACUCAAAUCCUUGAAACAAACUGUUUUUGGGUCAUAGUAUCUGUCCACUUCUUUUGCAGAAGGAGCGCAAAGCUCUAUCUCUGCUCUAUCAGCCACAGUGUAGAUCUGUUCAAGCAAAACAGAAAUAUAUAGGUUGAAGGCCACAAUCUAGAAACAUAUCUGGAUAUGGAUAUAUGUUUGGAGUUUUUUUUCUAGAUCCACAGGCACUAGCCCUUGUGGCUUUUAAAUUAAAAGAGAACAGAUACUAGGUCGAAUGCGGUGGGCCACUAGGGGCCACGACCCCACACACCUCUAGCCAAUUGGUUGAUGCCCACUUCUAUAUGUUUGCAGUUCAAUGGACAAAAAUAGAAUGCUGCAGUGAUCACAACUAGAAUAUUGUGCAAAUACCUUGUAUAACCAGAAAAAUAGGAACUACCUUAGCAUUUAGAAGCUUUUCCAGUUCAGUGAACUGAACUUCACAAUCCAGAUUAGAAGAGACACCUAUAAAGAUGACAAAGAAAAAUCAAAAUCAUCAGAGAAGAUUUAUGGGGUGUAGAAGGAAAUCAAACCUAUGGUAGAUACUACUCCCUCCGUUCCGAAUUACUUGUCGCAGGUAUGGAUGUAUCUAGAUGUAUUUUAAUUUUAGAUACAUCCAUUUCUGCGACGAGUAAUUUGGAACGGAGGGAGUACGACGCAAGGGAACUUCAGAAAUAUUGACAGUCCAUGGCAGAAAUACAACUGAAGAUUAUGCCCUUGAAGAGUUACUUCUCUGGAUUAAUGUUUCUUUCACUUGGCAAUCACAUGUCACGUUUAGUAAUUUAGCUCAUGACCUAUAUGCUAUUGUUCAUAAGAAUGUUACAGUGACCUUUCAUCAUAGUCUACGAUCAAGUUUAUCCAUGCCACUGUAUUUACUGUUUAGCAUUCACUUGUUUACCUUAAAUUAUGUAUUUGACACGAAGUUCAUCAGUUUAUUUAAUAUAUCUGACAUGCAAGUAGAAACAAUUCAAAGCAUGCAGUGUUGUACGCAAUGUAGCAAAACAAAAAAGUAUUUUAUGUAUUUGUGAAUGCUUGCCUUUCCUUAUAACAGGCGAGGCCGUCAUACCAAACACCUUUGGCUUGUGGUCAGAUUGGUGAUAGUAGUCCUGCUCAAAACAUGUCCAUGGCGAACACAACAAUUUCAGAAUGAUUAUAAAAAGGAAAUGUUCAGCACAACAAGGUGAUCUGGUGUUUCACAAUACCUUCAUUAUUCUCGAAUAAGGGUGUUUGCCAGUUGCACGAUGGCACUCAUCAAAUAUCAUAAGACUAACCAUGUCCAAGCUCAAGAAAGCUUUGCCUAAAGCACUUAGCAACACAUCUGGUAUCAUCAUCAUGACCUGCAAUGUUUCAAUGGCACUCCAAAGUAAGUGACAAAAGCAUCUACAUACAAAUGAAACAAAGCAUAGCACUGAUCAAAAUUUAAGAAAGGUAUAAGAAAAUGGGCCUAUGUACGAGUCCAAUGCACGAAUGAAGUGGUAGUAGAUGUAUUGUUUGUUAGCCCAGUAUCGCACAGAUGAAUUGGCAGAAGUUAUCACAGAUGACGCAUCAAGCGAUGGUAUGUUAAUAAGGGGUAGGGAGGCUAAGAACGAAUACAGAUGAAAAUAAAAUUAUUUCUUGGUCAAAUAAGCAGAGGACGACUCAGAAAGUAUGAAUAUGCUUGUUAAGUCGACUAAAUCGUUAUACAAUGGUAUUAGAUAUCAACUGUCAAGGUCUUUCAAUGCAAGUCAGAAGCAUUUAGGGGCUGUUUGGUUUUCGCCUGUGUACGCCCUGCCAAUCUUGGCAAGCCAAAUAAUUGGCGUAAGAAUUGGCCGCCCCAGACUUGCCAAUGAUUUGGCGUGAAACUGAACUGGAGGAGUUGAGGUGGGCUGGGCGCACCAAAAAAUUGGUGCCCAUCCAAACAGAAUGCCAAGCCUAGUCAACGACCAAAAUUUUGGAUCGGCAGCUGAGGGCUGCAAUCCAAACAGCCCCUUAAUCUGUCUAUAUCUAUAUACCAAUAUGAUCCAACAAAUCUCAGACAUCAAACAGUGUCAAUCCAACGGCCUAUAUUGCUCCAAUGGCGAGCGCUCAACAUGUUUAGCAUGCAGUUAAUAACAUACGAAAUAUAGACUAUCCAUGUAAUUACGCGUAAUUGAUAUCCUACCUCAUAUUAACAUGCAAUUAAUUUUCUGCCUAAUAUCAACAUGCAAUUAAUUUUCUACCUGAGAUCAACGUGCAUUGCACGUACGCAACGCAUUUACCGGUGUUAUCAAGUAGUAUGAUAUAAUGAACAGAAAAAUUCAGACAAGCAUUGUUACCAUGAUACAAUGAACAAAUGAGGAACCAACAGGCCUGGACCAGCAAUUACCUGAGAUUUCGAUAUUUUUUCUUUCCAUCUCUGAGGCGUCCAGUGAUCAACCCCCGAGGCACCGCAAUACAGCUCCACCUCAAAAUCUGUGUGGGUUUUAAUCACCUCACAUUGCUGCGGCAACAAAAUGUCAGAACAUACUAGUUUCAUAUACCAAGAUGAAUGGACGAUCACCAGCCUACAUACUGCAGUAGUACAACCUGUGUGACGAGCUGAACUGUUGGUGCAAGGAAUACGAUCUUCCCAUUGUUAUUUGAUUUGUCAAUCUUUUUCCCAAACUCUUUCAUGAGCAUCACAGCAAUCAUCGUCUUCCCGGCUCCUGUGUCAAGCAUUGCAAUCGUGUUUCGCGCCUUGGCAACCUCAAAGACAUCGAGCUGGUAUCUGACCGAUUUCAAUAUCAGAAAGCAACAUCAGGUACAGAUACAGUACUCUGUCUGAUCAUACAAGACUGUAUAAUCCUGCAACAAAAAUAAAGAAAUGGUGCCAAACCUUCUGGGUGUGAAAACUUGAGACUCCGUCUUCUGCCGCUUCUGCCCGUCUGCUUCGUCUCCUUGAGCACACGACUCCGAUGGCCUCUUCAGAGGGUUCAUGUUAACUGCCCAAAAUCCAACAAACAGUUCAGCGAGAGAGAUCAAUGGCGAACCCCAAUGCUUAGAAACCCCCUCACCAAUUCGAACAGAAUCAAAUUAACUCGAGAGGAGGGGGGGAAACAGAGUGCUCGUGUUCUGUCAGAAACGAAAAGCCGGAGCACCUUAACCCCCAAAAACCCUCGCAGAAACUCCCAACUGGCAGAAACCCCAGAGCAGAGAUGCCGAAGUAGAUCAAUGGCGCCGGAAAAUGUUCUGGAAGCGCCCGCGUGCCCCGAUUAAGCCCCGCGGAAGCUCCAACAUCAAGCCAAUCCGCCGCCAUUAACGCGAAUGCACGGAGCCGCAAUCAACCGGGUCGAACGCGCAUUGCCGAAUCAACCCCGGCGGCCUGAUCGGCAGGAACGCCGCAGCCGCGAAACCCGAACCGGCCGAGAGCGGACACAAAACCCCAAGAGGGACGCGCAAGGCGGCGAGGCGAGGCUAGGUUGGUUGCUUACCGUCGGGGACGGGGGCGGCGGCCUCCGCCUCCGCCGGCGCCGCCGCGGGACCGGUGGCGUCCAUCGCGUCCUCGCCGGCCUCUCCGCCUCCGGGCGCCGAUUCCGGUUCCGCCUCCGCCAUGGGGGAGGGAAGAAUCGUACGAGGCAAGCUUCGGAGUAACCCCCACUACAGACCACAGUACUACUACUACUCCUCUGCUUUGGGGUUUGUGGUUUGGCACUGACGCGCGCUGGCCCACCGCGAAUGCGCCGUGGGGUCGGAUCCCUCGGCGGUUUAUAUGGGGAGGGGAGGGAGGCGUCACGGCGGGUGGGGUCGGAUCCCUCGGCCGCGUUUCUGCAUCCGGAAGCAGACACUGACGCGGCCCCCUUUCCUUUCCUAAAUCCAAUUUCUUCCGUCAUUGGGAGCUGACGGUUCCGGCCCGUGCCUCGGUCAGGGGCCGCGCGGCGGUGGGGCUUUGGCGCGUGCCGCGACGAGGCUGACCCGUGGGGCCUGCAACGGGCUCGGUGGCCUGCGGGGCCCGGUGGUCGCUUGGUGAUUCCCCUGUGGACUGUGGUGGUGGGUGGCGACGUUUGCUCCUUUUGGGGUCUGGAUUUGGGACGACGGGCGUGCACUGGCUCGUCGUGUCCCUCCUGCCCUGUGUGGUGCGCGGUGCACGGUAAUUCAGGCCCGCGACCACGGGAGAGAGAGAAAGCGGGCGGACCGGCCACGGUCCACGCCGAAAGGUGCGGCUUCCAGUACCCGGCUUCAAUCAAGAGGACACAACCAAAACUGUCAAAAGAAAAGAAAAGAGGACACAACCAAAUGUUGCGAUUUCCAUGUGCUCCACACUGGCGCAUCCUAAAGUGGAGCACAAGUGUGCUAUUUAUCACCAAAAAUUCGCUCAGAAUAAAAUCAUGCUACACAGAAUACAUGAGUAGGUGAAGAUCAUGCUUUAUGUCUCCUCCAUUUGCUUUGUGAUAUUUCUUGUUUAUUUGGAUACAAACACUAUGUUUCGGUAAAAGAAACGGGAUAUCAUGUUUUCUUUUUUGUGUUGGGUCCCAUUUUAUGUGGGACAUGUCCAAAAAAAAUAGAUAAGCACGCGUCGCGGCAUAAAUUACAGUGCCCAAAUAUAGCACGGGCUUUGAAUCGAUCAGGAUGAACCAAAUUCUUUUUGGCUUUGGAGGUAAAGACUUUGGGUUUUUCUUCCUAUCAUUGAUGUGGAGGUGAAGCGGUCACUGGUAACUAACGUUUUCGGACCAGAAUCACAUUCUCUGACUUGCUACGGCAAAGUAGUAUAGCUAUAAUGAUUCGAUUUGGAAGGAGCUAGCGGCCCAUAUCGGAAAUUGCAACAUGCCAACUCAUGUCAAAACAAAAAACAAAUCUAAUUGUUUUUUGUAUAGCUCCAAAUGGUAACAAAAACAUCGAUGUCGUGCAUAUGAGACCGUAUAGGUCUCGUUGGUUUUUUUUGGAAAAUCUUGAUGUUUUGUUUCUUGAUAACUUCUCUACAAAAGCUCUGCGCCUGCCACGCAAGAUUUUGAUGUUUCUUUAUCAAGAGUUGAGAUUAAUAAUAAGCUAGAGAACACAUGAGAGAAAUGGAGUGGCCGGUACCAUGGAUGGUGGGCUAGAUAGAUAGUUUUUUUUUCUUUUGCAGGUAGACAGUUUGGGUUUGAUCCUUAACUCUGGCUUAACUAAUUUAAUAUUUGGUCUCUGCUCGUUUUAGAGAGGUCACUUGGUGUCUUAUGGGUUAGCCAUAGUUUUAAAUAGCAUGCUAUGACAUUCUACGUUCCAUGCUAAAUCACGCUAAACUGUACGCGAUGUGUUUAGCUUUAGGCCAUUUCAACUGGUAUGGCAGUGCUAUAGCGUCGAGACAUCGUGUUUUUGGAAAUAUGGGGUUAGCAACAUGAAUUAGUGUGAUCGACAAUUUAGUCCAUCCUUCGGCUUUACCUUAAUUAAAUCAUGUUUCCUAGACAUAACUUAUUUUCCUUAUUCUAUCAAUAACGCUACAGAUAAAGGGAAAAAAAUGAGUUGUUCAGUUCUAUUGUUCAAUACCUAAUUUCACUCAUUAUUAAUAGGCUUCCAUUUUAUCUGAAAAUGCAUAUACGAAUAUGGUGCCACGCGAGGAUGGUAUCAUGUCAGUCUGCUACCACGUGAUUCAUGUAGUAUGCAUACCAUAAAACAUGUAUAAUUUUUAUCGUAACUCCGAAAGAUGGUAUUAAGGAGCGUAUCUUGAUAAUUCUCAAGUGCAAGGAAUUGUUGUAGCACUUUUCAAUGAAGGCCAUGGUAAAUAUGGAGCGUCGAACCCGCAAGAAGGUAAAUGUAAAAUCAAUAUUAUCUCAGGUCAUAUCUGCCACGCUAAUACAACCCUGCGUACACAGAGUGUUUGCUUUAUCUAGAAACAAUAAAUAAAACUAUGUUGCGGGUAUAAAAAGGUAACUUUGCAAGAUAACGAAGAACAUAUACAUAAAAGAUGGGUGUUUCCUAAGCAAGGAUACAAUAAAUACAAAUGGCAAGUGUGGAAUAGUGGUGGUAUGGUGUGCGAAAUUGUCCCUAGGCAAUCAACUAAGUUACUAAAGCGAUCAUCGUAAUUGCAGUUUAUAUGUGGGAGAUGCCUCUGCUAACAUAUUAUCCCUUACUUGAAAUGCACUUAUGAUUGGAACUAUUAACAACCAUCUGCAACAACUAACAAGUUCAUUAAGGUAAACCCAAUCAUGGAAUUGAGAUAUAUUGCCUCCCCCCUUCAAUCUAGUAUGUAUCAAUUUCUAUGGUCUGACGAGGUUUCAGUCACUCCUGCACCCAUAUGCAUAGUCCUAUCAACAUACAAAUAACCCUAUGGUGUGAUCCACAUACACACUCAUAUGAUGGGCACCAAAGGACAGUAACAUAACCAUGAACAACUGAAAUCAAUCAUAGUGAUUCACCAAUUAACCCAUAGGACAACAAUAAUCUACUCAGACACAAAGAAGAGGCAAGAAAUCAUCAUAAUAAUAAUCAAUAGCAUCCAAACACCAUGUUCAAGUAGGGGCUUACAGUGGUAUGCGGGGGAUUGAACCGCCGAAAAGAGGUGAUGAAGAUGUUGGUCAAGACGACAAUAUUGACGAAGAUGAUCACCGUGAUGAUGGUUCCCUCAGCGAGAGAGGCUCCCCUUUGGCUUCUUCCUCCAUUGCCUCUCCUCUAGACGGGGAGAGGUUCUCCCCUCUGGUCCUUGGCCACCAUGGCUUGCCCCUCCGAGAUUGGAUCUCUUCUCUCCGUCUCUCUGUUUUUCGGCACUACUUUUUGGCCAAACACAAUUUCUUAAAUAGCCGAAGAUUUGUAACUCUGAUCAGGUUGAUAUUUUGAGGAGAUCUUUCUCCAUUUCUCGUGGCGAAAGAAGGUCUCCAACAAAUAUCCACAACCCCCACGCUGGCACAGUGUGCCCGGGGGUGGGUGCAAAACAUGAACAGACACAGGGCACUAGAUUAAUAGGUUAGUCCAAAAUAUAUAUAUAUUGAUGCCAAAAAUAUGUAAAAGUGGUAUGAUAAUAGCACGAAACGAUGAAAAAUACAUUGGAGACGUAUUAGCAUCCCUAAACUUAAUCCAUGUUCGUCCUCGAUUUGGUAAAUGAUAAUCAAAGAUAAUUAUUAAACCUGAUAAUAGUGGUGGCAAUGGUGAAACCGGAAGCUGCUAGAGCUCGGACACUAAUGAAUGUAUUUUUACACCCAUUACAUAAUUGUUCAAACCUGUUAGUCUUAGAUAUUUUGAGAAAAUCACUCUGAUCUUAUAACUAAUGACUAAUAAAUGCAAAAGAUUGCAAUUCCCAUUGUUUAAUUUGUUUCUGCAGGAAAAUGCAGAACAUUCAAAGAAUAGUCAUGCGUCAUCCUUAGCAAGUUAUAGCAAAAGUUGAGGAGCAUGAAAGUGAAAUGUUGUUAAAAGAAAGAGAGUUAAGCUCCAUGGCUUGAAACUAAAAAACGUCCAUGAUUAUUGAAAGCUUGAAAAGUACUGAUUGCAAAACUGUGAUAUGGAUUAUGCUCAUUAAUUUCCAUUUGGAAUAACUUUUCCUCAUAGUAGUUACUUAUCCGGUUGGGAGCUAACAUAUGUAGUUCUUUAACUGAAUAUAGGAAGGAAUUUGGAAAAUCUUUAGAUCUACAUUGACCACAAUAGAAUACUAGCAGGUAGUGCACGGCAUGCCGCUGCGCCUCACUGGUUCAUCUAGGGAUUAUUAAAGCGUUGCAUGCUUUUUAUUAAACUCGGCAUAUAUUGGGUAAAUUUAGUAAUACAGAGCACAAGAGAGAAAAGAGAGUGAAAUAAGAAAACUAUUGGUAAAAGCUAUAUUUUAAGGGAACCCAUGAGAAUUUGGUUUACUUUUUUGUGGAUGAGAGUUUGAUUUACUUGACUAUAUGAAAUCCGAAGAACUAUCUUUAAAAUCAAUAUUUUAGAGUUAACCUAUGAGAACUUGGAAAUUUUUCGUGCGUUGCCACAGACUAACAAAAAAAUGCACAUACAAGCAUGGAAUUAAUUUCCUCUCUCAAUAUAGAAAGACUCCAAAGGCAUAUCCAUUUAAUCUCGGUCAUCGAACAAUAUCAAUCCAACGACCUGGAGCGCUUACUUUCCGACAGGAAUAGUCUGUUUAAUUAGGUAAGUGCGACGUGGUUCCAUUAAGAGUUUAGAGAUGAUUAGAAGCAAAGUUUUGCUCCCCCCACCCCCCGACCCCACCCCUGAAAAUCAGGGGGGGGGAUUAGGUGUAUAGUACUCCUGUAGAUGCAUGGAUGGGUUGCUUGCAUGGUCUAAGGAGUAGGUGGGCCACCGUUGUUAAUUUGGAAAGGGAAUGUCAAGGUCAGAAUCUGAUUGGGAACGGAUGAAGGAGGUCGUGCGUUUGCACGAGCGAUCAUGAAAGAGUCAUUUCGGAUUGAUCCAUAAGCGCUCAACAUGUUUAGUCUACAAUUAAUAUCAUAUGAUAUCAUAUAUAGCAUCAAUGUAAUCACAAAAAUAGCAUAUAAUUGAUGUUCUACCUAAUAUAAGCAUGGAAUUAAUUUCUUCUCUAAUUGAUGCCAUUCUGUAUGUCUUUUAGGAAGGUAAUCUCACAAAUAUGGUGUGAAUUCUGGAUUUUAAUUACGUAAUAUUUACGUGAUUGAAUUGAAUUGGCGCCUGCCAAAGCAAGCACGAAAAACCAAAAGGUGGGUCGGACUAAUCAAUUCGAACUUUAGUGGGAGGGUGAGAAAACCAACGUGGGGGUGGUGGUCGGAGGUGGAGGCGAAAAUAAACCAUGCGUACCGGAUUACCAACUCCCCUUUUAGGAGUAGAGAUCAUUAUUAAGCAUAGUAUGUUUAACAUUUCCAUUUAAUUUUUUAUACUGAUAAUGAUAUUCUAUACUGUAGUAAAAUUACAAUACCUUAAUAAUGAUAUUCUAUACUGAUCAAUAUGGGUUAGUAUUCAUUUGUUGUCAAGUUAAGCAUAGUAUGUUUAACAUUUCCAUUUAAUUUUUUAUUAAUGGAAUUGACUUUCAUACGUUGUUUCACAUUUGCAAUGAACAUAUGUAUUCAUAUAUGGGAAAAAAUUGCAACUUUGUACACACAUUCUAAAAGCUGUGGACUCCUACGUAGUACCAUAUUAGGUGAAGUCAGCAUGUCGUCCCAAUAUUUACGUAUUGCUAGAUGAUUUUAAAACAAGACCUUAAAAAUGACAUUUACCUUAGGCAUAGUACAUUAUCGACAAUUGUGUACGUGAGAUCACGGUGUUUCUAGGCUCUAACAAAGUGCUAGCUUCGCCACUGUACCCAGGGGUUACUAGGUGUUUUUCUUUUCUUUUGGACCUUCCAAAAGGAUACUAAGUUAAUUAACUUCAAUGAUUAAUUUUCAUAGUUUUUAAAAUUAAGUACUCCCUCUGUAAACAACUAUGAAACGUUUUCAGUUUUGCUAUUUUCCAGGUACCUCGUCGGAGAAGAAUCAAUCUUAGGGGGAAGGCAUAACCUCACUAUCUUUCUUAGGGAAAAACCACAAUCCCAUUGUCUAUCUUAGAGGUGGGGGUGCAGGGAAUCGCCGGAGUUUUUCACCGGUGGUGCGGGGCUUNNNNNNNNNNNNNNNNNNNNNNNNNNNNNNNNNNNNNNNNNNNNNNNNNNNNNNNNNNNNNNNNNNNNNNNNNNNNNNNNNNNNNNNNNNNNNNNNNNNNNNNNNNNNNNNNNNNNNNNNNNNNNNNNNNNNNNNNNNNNNNNNNNNNNNNNNNNNNNNNNNNNNNNNNNNNNNNNNNNNNNNNNNNNNNNNNNNNNNNNNNNNNNNNNNNNNNNNNNNNNNNNNNNNNNNNNNNNNNNNNNNNNNNNNNNNNNNNNNNNNNNNNNNNNNNNNNNNNNNNNNNNNNNNNNNNNNNNNNNNNNNNUGCGCAGUAGCGCUCGUCGGCCGCGGGGUGUGGAGGCAGGCGGAUGGGGUGGGAUAGGCCGGCGGUUGCACAUAAGGUGGAUUAGAUCAUGCUUGAGAGGAGGAAAGAAGGUUGGGAGAAAGAAGAUUAAGUGUGAAGGGUUGGAUUUAGAUCUAACGAACAGGAAACUAAAUGACUGAUGCCAAACAUCUUUUCAAGUACCUGACAUUUAGACGCUCCUAAGACGUUUUAAACAUCUUAUAUUUUUUGUUUGCGGAUGGAGUAGCCUUUUUAACGGUUUACGUAUGCAUCAAGUAGGUGUAGGUCCACUGACUUGCCCGGUAAGCCGGGCCCCUGGAGUGACCACGGCGACGCGUGCUCCAAUCUGCAGAAGCUACAAGUCGGAGAAGCGGCCGACUGGCACGGCAGAGAGUGUUGAUCCCUUCCUCCUGACAGGAACCUCCCGUUACUAUAAUCAUUUAAAGAGCUCUGACUAACUAUGUACCCCGACUCGGCGAAAUUAGACCCCUUCCUCGCUCGUCAACAUCACCAUUCCUUCUCAAACACUAAUCCUUGAUGUCGUACCCCCACAUGCAGGCCGCAUGAAGCUUCUUUUCCCCGUGUGUAUCUGAUAUCUCCUCCUAUAUAAUCCACCGUUGCACUGCGAUCCUCGUACUCAUCCCUAACCAGCUCACUGCAAUCUCCAUCGAAAAUCAUACACCCAUCAGCCCUUUCUCGCGCUUACAUACACAGGCAACGAUCGAUAUGGCCAUGGCUAUGUGGAGAAAGAAGGAGGCGGCCGGAGCCAGCGGCGGCGCCGCCCCGGCAUGCGUUGUUCGCUCCGCCGGCGAGGGCGGGGGCAAGAUCCCGAAGGGCUACGUCCCGAUGGUCCUCGUCGGCGACGAGGGAGAAAGGGAGGAAAGGGUGCUGGUUCACGUCGGGAUGCUCACGGAGCCGCGCGUCCUGGCUCUGCUGGAGAUGUCCGCGCAGCGGUUCGGGUACGGCCAGCGGGGCGUCCUGAGGAUCCCGUGCGGCGUGGAGCGGUUCGAGCAGACGGUCCGUGGCCACCGGCGGGAGACGCAGGAGCCUGCGUGCGCGGCAGCACACUAGGAGAGAGCCAACGGCCACAAUUUUUCAAUUUUUUAUUUUUUCGCGGGGAAUGGCCAUGGUUUUUUUGCUGUACAGUCGUUGAAUUGCCUUUGUGGUGUCAAUAUUUCUUUCUUUGUUACUCCCUUUGUAAACUUUUCUGUAAUCUUUUAUAAGAUCGUUUAUAGAUCACUAAAGUAUUAUGUUUUGUUUAAUGUUUCUUAGCUAAACAUUGAUAUAAAGUUACUCGUUGACACGGUCUUUCAAUUGUGUAUAUACAUGAAUAUGAGGCUUUCAUUAACAAUAUCCAAAACCAUAGUAAUCUCUCAUCGUGCAAAAGUCUCCAUCCAAAAUUCAAAUAAAAUUAAACUAAAACCAUGACAAUAGCUAUGAAACGGAGGAAAUAUACAACUAUAAAUGGUGAACGAGGUUUCUUCAAAAUACCGAAGUAUACAACUAUAAAUGGUGAAUGAGUUUUUUCAAAAUAACAUAGUAAUACAUUCAACCGUUCCACUAGAUUGAGAUGAUCAAAGAGAUAAUGGUGAACGAGGUUUUUUCAAAAUACCGAAGUGUGGUUAUCGUCUUUUCCACGGUGCGACUCUGACUCCAAGAGAAAAAAAUGAUUUACUAUGUGUAACGAUUAACAUCAAUUUGUAUCAACUCAUUGCACUUCCUAGCUAUGACCAUGGUGAGCAUAAGCAUCUAUUCCCAUUUAUGAUAUUUAACCUGCCUUAUGCUCCGAAGCGAUUUUUACAUAUGCCUUAAUUUUCAAUAGGUUUUAUAGGACUCCAAUACGACGUUGCAGUCAUGCUCUAGAUUGUGCACGUUGUGCGGCGAGCCGAAGAGCGACCGAGCGCAACCAUGCCAUGUCGGUGAACUCUACAGAAGGCAUCACGCAGAGACAUCUAAAGGGUAUCCUAUAUAUGAUAAUUAUCAAAUAAAGCAGUAAUUAGUAUAAUAAUAAGACAAUAAGGCAGAAAGCUACCAAAAAAUUAUAUCGUAAACCAGAUUGGCCGUCUUCUUCAUUCGAGUGUACGCCAACUGUUGGAGACUGAAAUUACACGGAACCAGCGAUAAUGGAAACAGAUACCUCGAAACACCCUCAUCAUACUUAGGCUUUUGAGAUCUCAAUAAUCACUUGCCACUACAAACGAGAUCUAAUAAUGCUGAAGAAACAUCUGUUAGGACAUCACCCAAGGCAACCCAGACUUGUAAUCCAUUGCAGGCAUUAGAGAUGUCCUUAUUUUGAAAAAUUAUGAGGGCAUUAUGAGUAGACAUUAAAAAAAUUGAGUUUGGCAAGGCUUGAUCCUCAACUCUACCUUAAUACUCUAGCGUUAUCGAAGGGUGUGUCUCCAGGGGAUCUUCGGAGAUUUGAUCGGUCGGUGCUGAUCUUUGGUGGAUCUUUUUGGAUCCAGUCUUCGUUCGUUUGUUCACACGUUGGAUCCUUUCAAUUUAUGAUUCUCUUCAACGCAACAAUUAAUGUUCUGAUGUUGGUCCCGUGGGGCCUUGGCAUGACGGCUUCCAGACUAUUUACUACAAUAAGUUUCGCAAAUGUUAACGCCCACACGUGUGGCACAAAAUAACAUGGUCCAAACGCCUCCACUAUCAUUCAUUUUAUCACAUCAAAACAGAUGACAUCAGCGGGAAUCUUUUUGGUUUUCGGCAUAAAAUGUUUUAUCUUCUAAUUAAAAAAUCUAAUUAAAAAUCCGUUUUCACCAUUAAAUACGUCUCGGCGAGAUCUUCAAAACUAGAUCACAUGUUGAUAUGUUUCGAUGAAUUAUUUUUUGACCACAAGUUGCCAUAAUGCUUACACUGUAGUUGCCAUAGUGUUACACUAAAGUUGCCAUGUGGCAAUUUAGUUUAUAGACCAUGGCAAUUUUAGUAUUUGGACCAUGGCAAAUCUAGUACUUUGACCAUGAAAAUUAUUUUUUGUAUGAACCAUGGCAAUUUUAAGUGCAUGUAUCAUGGAAAUUUUAGUUUAUGAUUCAUGGCAAGUCUAGUUUCUUAAUUCCCCGUUUUAUAAUAUGUUAAAAUUUACUUUUAAAUGUAGAAGAAAAUAGCUGAAACAUAUCAUGGCAACUUCAGUGUAAAACCAUAGCAAUUCAUGUACAAUAGACAUAACAACUUUUUAAAAGUCGUCGAAACAUAUUGAUAUGAGAUCUAAUUUCGAAGAUCUCGUCGCGAUGGAUUUAAUGGUAAAAAUUGAUCUUCAAUUGGAUUUUUCAUUAAAGAGAUAAAACAGUUCUAAAAGUGGAAAUUCAAAAAGAUUCUCACAUACAUGCAUGCACGCGGUGACGUGUAGUAUCUGUGUUAUAGAGCAUAUGGGCGGGUGUCACUUCCACCACACGUGUGGACGUUAUCAGUGUCCAUAAGUUUUCUCUGACUUCGAUGAAGAAGGGGUAAUGAUGACAGUGCCCUACUCGCUAGUGGUGGAGCUACGACAAGGCCAAAGUGGCCGUGGCCCGCCCAUGAUAUGUAUGUUUUUUCUUUCAUAUAUGCAUCGGUAGCCCAUAAACCUGGUCUGCUUACAGAUAACACCUAAGCCCCUAAAUCCCUCUACGCUCCAUUCAGUGAGAGAUUCGCACGACGCCAGCCAUGGAGCAGUAUUAUGUGCCACAAGGAGCAGCCGAGGAGCAGCGGCAAAACAAGCAUCAACGGCCACUAGCUGGCCAGCAUCAUCCAUCGCACAUUUGCACACCCAAGGGACGACGGCUUUGCCGUGCGUAUCUCUACUCCUGCGUAUCUCUACUCCUAACGGACGAAUUGGUGAAUCGUCUGCACAGUUUAUUUUCGUUGGGUUUUUUUCGUCUCUCCUCCCAUCACCCCUCCCAUCCUGGUCAACAGUUUAUUUUUGCUGGGUUUUUUCGUCUCUCCUCCCACCACCCCCUCCCACCCUGAUCCACCGGUUUAUUUUUCUCUCCACUCUUUAUUACAACCAGAACUUUCCUAAUGUAUAACAAAUCAUGGAUCUAAUUUUCUUAAAUUAUGCAAAUCAAUCGAUUCCUUUUAUUGGUUCAAUUUGUCUUAGUAAACAAAUAACAGAUUUUCAGGAAAUAAAUAAUACAUUUUAACUAACUUCCUUAAAUUAUGCAAAUCAAUCGAUUCCUUUUAUUGGUUCAAUUUGUCUUAUAAAACAAAUAACAGAUUUUCAGGUAACAAAUAAUACAUUUUAAUCUAACUUUCUUAACUUAUCUAAAUCAAUCGAUUUCUCUUAUUAGUGAAAUUUAUUUUAGGAAAUAAAUAACAGACACGUCACAACUUUUCUCCCAAUAAAUAGUUUCUUAACAUUUGCAAACUUUCCUAAUCAGACACGUCACAAACAGGGAGGUACUGAUAUCACGUUAGCAAACAAUAAAACCCCAUUUCCAUAUAAAUCAGUUCAAAAAUCCUAACUUUCCUAAUUUUUUUACCUUUCCUUGAUAACAACUGAUACCUCCUAUGUUUUCCACCUAUUGAAGGAAAUCACCCCUCCAUCGAUAUUAGCAUUUUUUUGAACUAAGAUCUCCGGGUUAUGAUUAUUUUUUAUGAUUCUUUCCAAUUGUGACCUCUCAUUCCACUCUGGCUCCUUCUCGCAUAAACACCUCCACCACAGCCAGGUGACACCGCCCUAGGCCUCCUGCCUCUCCACACCUUCUCCGCCACCUCCUUCUCGUACUCCAUUAACAAUCCCUCCGCCACAUUUGUCCACGCGGUGUCGAGGGCAUGGCGCAGCAGCGUACCAGCGGUAGAGCAGCGCAUAGCAGCAGGAAGCAACACGCAGCAGGCGAGACGAGCGGCCGAUGGUAGAGGGCAGAGAUGCGGCCGACGUGGCUGAGGCGGCGGCCGGCAGAAGAUGGCCACGACUGGAGGCGGCGCGAGGCAGGGGCGCGACAGCGGGGCGAGCGAAGGGAUAGGCGGCAACACACUGGGCGAGCGCAGCCAGCGAGAGUGUGGCGCGUGGUCAGGGUGUGUGUCGCGCGGGGCACAAUGGUGCGGUGGCUGCAGCGAGCGUGACGGCAGCGGCGGGCGCGACCGACGCGGUGUAGCACGAGCAUGGGCAUGGAGAGGGAGUGGCCCCACGGGCGCGGAAGAAGAGCGGCAGGCUCGGGCAUGGGCGUGCAUAGGAGCGGGAUGUGCCACGGGGUCAAUCCGAGGAGCUCGGUGGCUACCCCUGCAAUGGCCAUGGCGGACGGCGGUUCUCGGCCACGGCGAAAUACCUAACGAGAGGGGAAACAUGGGAAAGGCAAGAGGAGAUCAUGGCGGCGUCAAUGGCGCCCUAGGGGAAGACACGGGAGCUCGGGGCGGCGCGGAUUGGACGACAAUGUCGCGGUGGCCCAAGGUUGAGGAAGACGGCAGCGACAUCGAUGCGGGGAUGCUGGACUUGAUCUUGUUGGCGCAGACGAAGUAGCGAAGGCGUUCAGAGCUACUCGAUAAGCUCCUAGCCCGCAGGGAGGGCAGUGGCCAUGUGGACAGGGUCAGUCAUGGUGGCCGUGGCGUCUGACUUCGUCCAGAUCGACGGGAUCGAGCGAGCGAGAAGGAGAAGUGGAUUUGGGAGGGGGCGUCAAGGAGGAGUGAGGCCAUGGGGGCAGGGAAGAAAGGGUGUCACCCUUAUCCAUUUCCCUUCGAUGCCAGCGAGGUGGUUGUUGGAAAUAUGCCCUAGAGGCAAUAAUAAAAGGAUUAUUAUUAUAUUUCCUUGUUCAUGAUAAUUGUCUUUUAUUCAUGCUAUAAUUGUGUUAUCCGGAAAUCGUAAUACAUGUGUGAAUAAUAGACACCAACAUGUCCCUAGUAAGCCUCUAGUUGACUAGCUCGUUGAUCAAAAGAUAGUCAUGGUUUCCUGACUAUGGACAUUGGAUGUCAUUGAUAACGAGAUCACAUCAUUAGGAGAAUGAUGUGAUGGACAAGACCCAAUCCUAAACAUAGCAUAAGAUCGUAUAGUUCGUUUGCUAGAGUUUUCCAAUGUCAAGUAUCCUUUCCUUAGACCAUGAGAUCGUGUAACUCCCGGAUACCGUAGGAGUGCUUUGGGUAUACCAAAUGUCACAACGUAACUGGGUGACUAUAAAGGUAUACUACGGGUAUCUCUGAAAGUGUCUGUUGGGUGACAUGGAUCAAGACUGGGAUUUGUCACUCCGUAUGACGGAGAGGUAUCACUGGGCCCACUCGGUAAUGCAUCAUCAUAAUGAGCUCAAAGUGACCAAGUGUCUGGUCACGGGAUCAUGCAUUACGGUACGAGUAAAGUGACUUGCCGGUAACAAGAUUGAACGAGGUAUUGGGAUACCAACGAUCGAAUCUCGGGCAAGUAACAUACCGAUUGACGAAGGGAAUUGUAUACGGGGUUGCUUGAAUCCUCGACAUCGUGGUUCAUCCGAUGAGAUCAUCGAGGAGCAUGUGGGAGCCACCAUGGGUAUCCAGAUCCCGCUGUUGGUUAUUGACCGGAGAGCCGUCUCGGUCAUGUCUGCAUGUCUCCCGAACCCGUAGGGUCUACACACUUAAGGUUUGGUGACGCUAGGGUUGUAGGGAUAUGUAUAUGCAGUAACCCGAAUGUUGUUCGGAGUCCCGGAUGAGAUCCUGGGCGUCACGAGGAGUUCCGGAAUGGUCCGGAGGUAAAGAAUUAUAUAUAGGAAGUGCUAUUUCGGCCAUCGGGACAAGUUUCGAGGUCACCGGUAUUGUACCGGGACCACCGGAAGGGUCCCAGGGGUCCACCGGGUGGGGCCACCUGCCCCGGGGGGCCACAUGGGCUGUAGGGGGUGCGCCUUGGCCUACAUGGGCCAAGGGCACCAGCCCCAAGAGGCCCAUGCGCCUAGGGUUCAAGAAGGGAAGAGUCCCAAAGGGGGAAGGCACCCCCUAGGUGCCUUGGGGGGGGAGGGAAUCCUCCCUUGGCCGCCGCCCCCCCUAGGAGAUUGGAUCUUCUAGGGCCGGCGCCCCCCUAGGCCCCCUUAUAUAUAGUGGGGAGAUGGAGGACUUCUCACCCCACGCCUUUGGUGCCUCCCUCUCCCUCUCCAACACCUCCUCCUCCUUCAUAGAGCUUAGCGAAGCCUUGCUGGAGUACUACAGCUCCAUCACCACCACGCCGUCGUGCUGCUGCCGGAGCCAUCUUCCUCAACCUCUCCUUCUCCCUUGCUGGAUCAAGAAGGAGGAGACAUUACGCUGACCGUACGUGUGUUGAACACGGAGGUGCCGUCCGUUCGGCGCUAGGAUCUCCGGUGAUUUGGAUCACGUCGAGUACGCCUUCCUCAUCCCCGUUCUUAGAACGCUUCCGCGCGUGAUCUACAAAGGUAUGUAGAUGCAAUCCAAUCACUCGUUGCUAGAUGAACUCAUAGAUGGAUCUUGGUGAAACCGUAGGAAAAAAUUUUAUUUUCUGCAACGUUCCCCAACAGUGGUCGGGCGGGAGCCCGGCUCUGUAGCGACGCGGCUCGGGGAACAGGAGAAGACGACCGCACGGGGACUAGACUGCUGAGCUGGUUCGAUGGCAAGGCCCGGGGGCAGGGCGAAUCCCCUUUUACAUUGUCCUUUUGGUUUUUCAAUGUAUUCCAAUCUGUUUCUCCUUUUUAACAUUGUUUUCUAUUUAUUCUUAUCAACUAAAUGAUCUCUAAUCCUAAUGUCUCAGUUGGUAGUCUCCGUUUCGGGUUUAUUUUCGCCCCACCUCCCGAGUGAGGGAGAGGGGGAGAGAGACUGAGGAAGAGGGAGGGAGGGAUGUGUGUGUGGGAGAGAGAAUUUGAUGGUAAAAAGGUCGUCAAUGUCACUUAAUAUGUAUGAGAAUAUUAAAUGUAAUAUUAACAUAAUUAAUAUUGAACUUUUAAAGUUAAUGUGGCCCCGUUGCAACGCACGAGCGUUCUUCUAGUAUAUGUGCUGAUCUAGUUAAAAAAAUUGUCGAGGACCGACUCAUGUCUAAUGAAGUAGCACGAUUCAUCCUAAUUUUGAAGAAAAAAAUGUGACUUAUUUGCGUGGCCCACCCAACUAUUUCUGUGUAGCUUCGCCACUGCUACUCGCUUCAGGGAUUGCAGUCAUUUUUAGGUGGUCGAUGAACCUAUAUGUAAUUUUCCUACUUCUGAUGUUUUUUGUAUUGUCAUGAAAGAUGACGAAUAGAUCAAAAGUUUUUCAUUGAAAGUCUUAACUUAAUAAUUAGACUAUUCCUUUUAGGUAUAAUUUUUUCUUUGUUCUAUCAAUAACUCAGGUGGUGUUUGAUUCUCUAGUCCUAGGACUUUUUUUAGUCCCAACUAAAAAGUCUUUAGUCCCUAAAAAAUCCCUCCCUGUUUGUUUCCAGAGACUAAAAAGUCUCUAGUCCCUUGCUAGAGGUUAUUAAAUGACCAUGUUGCUCCUAGUAUAUGGAAAAAUAAUAAUCAAACAACAACAUGGAAUGGCGGGCCAAUGGGUGCAUAGAGGGGCAUUGUUAGAAAAGUCCCAAAAAGACUCUUCUCCUUGAGAGUCUUCUUCAUUUAGUCCCAAAUGCCUAGUUUAGUCCCUAAAAAGUCCCUCCCGUUUGAUAAAAAAGUUUCUAAAAGGGAUUUUUUCUAGUCCCUACACAAAAAAGUCCCUGAAAACAAACACUCCCUCAAUUUUUUGGGUGAUCAAUAACUCACCUUAAUACACAAAACAAACUAGUUAUUCGAUAGUGUGCAAAAUUAGCAUACGCCAUUUUAUAGGUGGUUUUCUCCUAAUACUCAUGUAAAAUGAUGACUACAUUUUCGCAGGGUGCACGCAAUAUGUUUAAAACUAGCUCUUGUUCAUUAGUGUCAAGAUCUAUUCGUAAACAUAUACCCCUUAAAAAGAUAUCUAUUAUAAAAGUUCACCGAAAAUAUAAAGUAUCUCAAACAUAAUAAAAUUAUAUCGAUAUUACGAGACCAUUGGAUGAUCACUAUUGCCGCUAGAACGAGCUGCGGACAUACCGACUUUAUCGAUGACAGUCGAAAAGUCUUUCUACACGUGCCCCAAAGGACAAGCGCCCUAGAGCCGCAAUCAUCGCCGUUGAAGCCUUGCAUAGAUUUAAAGCACAUGACAUCAAAUCUUGCCAAAUGUCGAGAAAGUCUAACCUCACCUCCCAAAGGAGGCGAUUGAAAUCUACUUCGGAGCUCUGUCGACUACGUCUAGAUGGACGAACUCGAGAAUGACCGAAGUUCGGAAGACAAACUCGAAGAAGAAACCCCGCCACCCGCUCAAUACCGUACCCGCAAGUACUAAAAAACCCUAACCUAAACUACUAGCCGGAGCAGAGGCACCGGGAUUACCUUUCCGACCACCGGCCGACGGAGCGGAAGAGGGAAGACAAAUCCCCAGCCUCGCCGGUGAAGUCUGGAGGGAGAGUUUGGUCUAGCCGCCUAAGGUUAGGGAAGAAAAGUUGUAGUCAAUGACGUGAAAAAAAAUCUUUUUGAAAAAAAUGUGUCAAGAAAAAAAUAAAUUAUUAGGAAGACGAAAGAACGAGAAAUGGUGAAAACUAGCGGUUGGGGCGCGCCCACGGCGCGCCGCCUGAAACGGCAGCUGUGCGGUGCCAGGUAAACUCCCGCCCUUUCCAAUGGUUUUAGCGCUGAUUGAUUCCCUUAUAGCACGCAUACAUGUAUAGCUGAUGCAUGGCUAAAGUGAACCAAAUUCAGCAAAUAAACAAGCAAUGUCCGACGCACCAAGCCAACGGUCGCCGGCGUCUCGUCCAUUGAGAAUCCCUGUCUGCCAUAGUGCAGCCAGUCGUUGCUCCUGCAGCCCGCGGCUGUGCCGCAGUCUCUUGACCAGGAGUACCACGCUACCAGAGCACUGCCAGUCGCAGCAGCCGGAACAUCUGCCGGCUGAUUGGAGCCUUCUUCCUUGUCUUGUAUCAACUUCGAUGCUACACUUGUCUGCGGCGACUCCAAGAUCGUCUGCUCCACAGUAGGUGGUGCCUCGACGGCUUUCUGGCUCUGUUCCCACUUUGAUCAGCAUGUAACAAACAACUCUUUACACAACCAGUACAGCAUCAAAAGACCAUAAUAGGCAGCUGCUUUGGCCAAACAGGAGGUGAAAGGAAAUGUAGAGCAUCUGCUUUUGCAUGGCAUAAGACAUUCGGGUUGUCUUUAAGUACAAUAAUUCAAUUCUUAUCUGAUUUUUGCUAAUACAAGGAACAGUCUGAAUAUUGUUUAUAAAAUCAAUGAUCCUGACUAAUUAAGCUAGAAAAAAAUAUGCCCAAAGGAAAUCCUUACAGCCACUAGAAACAACAAUGCUUGCAUAAUCAAAAUAUCAAAAUUCAUUGUGCAUAGCAGGAAGGUCCGAUUAUUAAGGGGAAGUGAAGAAGCUCAAAAGAAAUCCUCACUGCUAGCACCGUUAACACACAAGUUCCCCAUAGAUUUUCCACUGCUCUCCCCAGAAUUCCCGUGCAAUCGAAAUCAAUCACCAAUCACCAUGCCAUAAAUCAACAGUACAUAGUUAAGUCUUGGAGCAUACAGAGGUGUCCAUAUUAGAAAUAAAUAAAAAUGAUAAUAUUCAUAGGCGUCACAGAUCUCAACCUAACAAGUACCGCCAAAAGAUAUUAGAGAUGGAAGCUCGUCACCUUUCGAGCGGGGAGGAGCACCUGCAUCAUAUAGACAAGGAAGAAGGAGGGGUCAGGUUGGGGAGGAUCUCGUCGAGCGCAGCCAUUAUAUAAGCCAUCAUUAUAACUAAGUAAAAAAAUGCCUUCUGUUCGAUGGCGUCAUCUAUUAAUGAGAGUUGUUCAAUCACUAUAGACACAUCACAUUUAACAUGUAGAUACUGAUACAAUAGCAAUUAACUUUGAUGAUCUAAUACAAGCAUUCCCCUAGUGCAGAAGCAAGCCAACUGCAAGGUUCAUGGCAAACAAAUGGAAAUUAUUUCUAUCAAUAUUAUGUUUUCAACCUUCGCAACAAAAUAUACCGCAGAAGAUAGCAAAAAAAGUGGAAUAUAUUUAGGAUCCACCUGAACAGAAAAAGAAAAGAUAUAAUAAUAAGAUAAUCAAACAUAUUGCAUUUUUUCUGUACUUACAAAAUCGUGUCCCACCUCCCAUCCAUCUAUCCUGCACAAAAGUAGGUUACAGUCAUAUAGACGAUGAUAAGCAGCAAGUACAGUACAAUCCACAUCUAUACACUGCCUGAAAAAAUAACCUGAUCUGUCUAAUAUAGAACAGUGCAACAUAAAGUGCCUAAUAAAGCACAAAAACGUGAUGCAAGCAAAAACUGCAGAAUCAAAUUUACAGCAGUCUAUAAAGGUAAGGGCAUAGUUUUUUUAUAUCAUAAGCAUCCUAUGAAAUUCAGAAAACUAAGUAACUUUUAGAUCAAUAGGGCAUGAUGCAAGAAGUAAUAUUAAUUAACAUGCAGACUCACUUCAAAAUCAUCAAGAUGCUUUGUAGCGUCAAUGGAGAUGUUUGCCACUAUUGUAUUUCAAGCUUUCCUCAACCAUAAUGCAUACAAUAGACAGGUCGGUGAACAGUUGAUUGCUGAAAGAUGUAUUGCAUAUAUCUCCAAAUCAGUAAUAUAAAUAGUACUGCUAUUAAAUUAGCACAACUAAAAAAUAGAUUAAAUCAUAUGCAUGAAAAUGCUCAUAGAUUAAUUUCUCUAGCUCGGUUGUCGAGAUAAUAGCUCUGCUCUCUUUAGUGUUCACGUUAUGUCAGUGAACAGUUGAUCGCUGAAAGAUGUAUUGCAUAUAUCUCCAAAUCAGUAAUAUAAAUAGUACUGUUACUAAAUUAGCAUAACUAAAAAUUAGAUUAAAUCAUAUGCAUGAAAAUGCUCAUUGAUUAAUUUCUCUAGCUUUUAUUGUCGAGAUAAUAGCUCUGCUCUCUUUAGUGUUGACGUUUCUUCAUGAUACACGAGAUGAACCUGCAUCUAAAGAAACUGAGUUGAGAUCUCUUUUUAUUUGGUCUGGCAUCCAUACACUAACAACCAUGAACUGGAAGGUAAAUAGAAGCAACAACAAUAAAAAGAGAGUGAUUUUUCCUCAUGUUGGAUCCAUAACAGGGAGGAGAGAUGGAGAGACAAGUUGUACCUUAGGCGUGCAUGCGACCAAGAGCACGCACAAACAGAUCGAUGAAGAACCCAAGGCUCACAAGACGCCUCUGCUUCUCCUGCAGCAUGCGUCCAUUUCAACAUCAAUCUUCUUCACACUGUCGAAGACGAGGAGGAGAGAGGCUGCGGCCAGCGAGCCAGCCUCAACACCCUUCACCGAUCCGUCUCGACCUUGUUCUCCUCCACAUCCUCGUUGGCAGCGCCUUCCCCUCACUACUGGGACUGAUUACAUUAGGGUUAGAGACUGCAAGUAAACUCGCAUGCCGAACUUCACUGCCCUCGUACAUAUUCAAACUUGGUCUUCAAGCAGUUUCACCCGUAGGUGGCCAGAGAUUUGCAUCAAUGUCACAUGUUCAACAAUCUCUCCAGUGACUGGAAUAUUCUUAUCCACGGGCUGGAAUCAACCAAGUAUAUCCAAUGAAUAGUUCUGAAGCCAUACACUAAAAUCUAAAAUAUGAAGACAUGUUCCAGAAAACCAAUUUAGUUUGCAAGAAAAUACAUUCCUCUAACAGAGACCUGAAAAACACGAAUAUUUUCAGUUUGCAAACGCAUACCAACAAACAGAUAGAGGCCAGCAACAAACAAGAACAUAGCACACUUUGCAGAUUAACUGAGGCUUCACUACCUUAUAAACCGAAAAAGAAAAUAAAGAUAUCACAGGAGAAGUUUGGAUGUACCCAAUUCAUCACAGGUGCAUAUAACUGAAGUAGUAGGCUAACUACUGCAGUACACUUGCCACUUCGCUAGGGCCAAGUUUAGAAAUACUUGUGAAAAUUCAGACAUAUAAAAGCAUCAUUCCAGGUAUAUAACGAUUGCAACCGCUCCAUUUGGAUACGUGGUAGAUUCAGUCUUCUCAAAAUUAGUUCCUACAAAUUAACCAAUGCAUCCAAAGGAAUUUGUCUAGAUAUAAGCACAUCCAAAAUCUGAGCACAUCUAAACACCUAUUGGACCAGAGAGGAAGAAAAGGAAAAGCUCACCAACAAAUCUUGCAACCUGCCGCAACAACAGGAAACCACAGGCCGAUCGAAUCGGACACGACCGACACCAGCAACAGCAGCAACCAACCCGUAGGAGAAGAAGGGGUGUGGCAGGGGGGCACGUCGACCUGGUCCGUCUUGACCUCGUCCUCCCGCGGCUUCCUCGGGACGAGAGCUCGCGGCGCCGCCCGCCUUGUCAUCAGCGCUAUGGGGAAGAGCAGGGCCACGCCUUGCUACGAGGAAGAGGCCCCCACCGGUGCAUUCGACGCCAUGGUGGCUGCCCGAGCCCGGGCCCGCGCCGCCCCUGCAGCCAUCUGCGUGCGUUGAGACAAGGCCGAGAAGGAAUGGGAAGAUUGGAGACAUCAUGCUCACCUCAGAUGCUUUCACCCGUCCCUGCGGCGGCGCUGGUGGCAGAUCAGAGAUCGAAACCGCCACCGCCGCCGACUUCUCUUCCCAUCCAAUCCGCACGGCUGGUGGCGUACUCGCAGCCGCGUCCCCUCAUCCUUCUCUUCCGCCCGGCCUUCCCAUCCACUGGCUGCCUCCUCCCGAUUGCCAAGAAUUGGAACGACCAGAUCAGGGGAAGAAGAGGAAUGAGAGGUUGCGUGUCAUGGGAGAGGAAAGGAGGAAGGGGUGGGGGGCUCGAGGCAGGCCUUUCUCCGGUGGGCAGCGCCAGAGGGGCGAUGGGGCGGCGGCGGCUGCCACAACCCUAGUUGAUAGGAGGAAAAACGAAAGAGAGAGAGAGACAAGAGAGGAGGCGUGUAUGGGGAGGAAAGCCUACCUCUUGACGGGAGGAAGAUCCUCUGACUGACGGGAGGACGUGGCUAUCGCGUCGUUGAUGCGUAGCUGAAUGGUUUUAAAUGCCGCUGCGUUGACUGCCUCGUACGUAGGCCCUGCCUCUGCGCAGGGCCAAUAGCUCCUGUGCGACGUUUUUGAUGUGAAUUUGCUUGAGUGCGACGUUGUUCGAGCGAAUGGCUGUGGUGCGACACAUUUAAGCAGGUAAAUAGCCCAGAGCCACAUGGGGUGUUAAAUGUGGUUAAAUUGGUCGUCAACCAAGCCCGUUUAUGUUAGGACAUGUGGGUCCAACUUAAUUGCUCCUCAAAACAGCUGACCGUGCCCUGCCGCCCGACCGUGCCGGACCCGCCACUCUGCCCCCUCCCCCCUUCUUCUCCGGUGGCGGCGGAUCUUGCGUUCUCAACGGCGGCGGCGGAGCCCUCGUUCUCAACGGCGGCGGAGCCUUCGUCCUCAAAAAAUGGUGAGUGAAAACCCUAGUCCCCCUCCCGUUCCUCUCUCGGCCCCGUAGAUCUCAGCUCGUUUCCUCUGUUUUCGCUUGUUGAAUCGAUAGGUUGUGAGGGGAGCCCGUGGGCAUACUGAGAUGGAGCCCCCAGAUUCAACUUCGAAUAGGUAAUGCUCCUCUCUCUGAUCCAAUUUUGCAUGCAAUUAGGGCCUACUCUGCUCUUUCUCACGGGCUCACACUGUCCGCCACUGACAGAGGGGAUGCUGCCGCUCGGACCUUCGAAUUGACGGUCAAUUUCUUUCCAUCAAAGGCAAAAUUAGUUGAUGGUAGCAUUCAGAACAUUGAGAGAGACACAAUUGUUAAAUGGGAGGUUGAGUUUACAGAGAUUGAUCCACAAGUUCUACAGAACAUGGAAGAGAAGGCAGUGAAGAAAUGGGUGGAAAAAAUUAGGGAGAAUGUUGUUUGGGGUCCAGAGCAAGAAGUAUCACUGUUGCGGUUUGAUGAUUGGAAAGGAGAGUAUGUGAGAAUGGAAGAUGGUGAACAGAUUGUUGAUGAAAUCGAUCAGCAAAACGGCUGGACAAGCAAAAGAGCUAAUUUUUUUGCUGAGCUGGUUGAUCUGAAUAUUUUUUCGAAGGUUGGAUAUGUGCCAUCACAAUUGGCUGCGCAGAUGGUAGAUGAUGAUUGGGCUACACAGAGGCCAUUGAUUCCCAUGUGUACUGAACUUACAGUAAUAGCCGAAGAGGGACAGGUGACUGGAAUUGAAACUGAAACUGCAGCAACUGUUGAUUGGAAUGUAGUUGAAUUAGAUGAGCCUACUGAUUUGGUCAUUGCACCAAUGCCUGACAUUGAGAUGGCCAAACUUUUUGGCAUUCCAGUCGAUGACAGAGAUAAGCAGGAGAGGGGAGAAUCUAGUUUGCAUGCUAAUGUUGAUGAAGAUGUAGAUGGACAAUUGAUGGAACAAGCUGCAGAUGAAGUAGAUGAUGCACAUGAUGAUGAGCUGGUGCAUGUGUAUGACAAAGAAAACCCUGUCAUUGAAGUAGGCAAGUUCUUCCCAAGCAUGAAGGAGUUUAGGAUGUGUUUCAAGACUUAUGCAGUGAAACAUGAGUUUGAUGCCAAGAUUGUUUGGACUGAUAGAAAGAAGUUUUAUGCGAGGUGCAGAGGAUUUGAUGGUAGUGUCAAGCCUUGCAAGUGGUACAUAUCUGCUAGACUGCAACCUGAUGGAAAUACUGUCAGGGUUAACCAAAUCCCCAAUCAACAUACUUGUAUUACAAGUUCACAGAGAGUAUCAACCAUGACAUCACAACUUUAGGUUGCAGAAAAGAUCACCCCAAUUUUAGCCAAAACACCAAACACUACUGCCAAGAAACUCAAAGUAGACUUGGAAAAGAUGUACCCCAUUAAACUGAAAUAUACCACAGUGUGGAAGGCAAAACAAAGGACAAUGAAAAACUUAUAUGGUGAUUGGGCAAAUACAUUUAGGAUGCUUUACAACUUCAAAGCAGAGGUGGAAAAGAGGUCACCUGGUAGUGUUGUGGAGAUAGAUACAGAGCUAUCAGCCAAAGGUGAAGUCAAGUUCUCCAAGUUUUUUAUGGCUUUGAAGCCUUGCAUAGAUGGCUUCAAAGCAGGGUGCCGUCCAUAUUUGAGCAUAGACUCAUCAUUUUUGACAGGCAAGUGGAAUGGUCAGUUGGCAGCAUGCAAUGCUCUAGAUGGACACAACUGGAUGUUUCCUAUUGCUGUUGGCUUGUUUCAGUCAGAAACAGAGGCUUCAUGGACAUGGUUCAUGAUCCAGUUGAAAAGAUGCCUAGGGCCAGUGUCACCUUUGGCUAUACACACAGAUGCAUGUAAGGGGCUUGAAAAUUCAGUGAAAAAUGUUUUCCCACAUGCUGAGCAGAGGGAGUGCUUCGGUCAUUUGUGGAUGAAUUUGAUCAAAAAAUUUAGAGGAGAAGAAUUUGGGCGCAUGUGGCCAGCAGCAAGAUCUUACACUAGAAAGACACACAAAUAUCAUCUUGAUAAGAUAAUGGCAGCAUGUGAUGAGUUUGGUCCAUGGCUGAACACCUACCAUUCUUUGUUAUGGUACAGGUCAGCAUUCAACACUGCCAUCAAGUGUGACCACAUCAACAACAAUUUGGCAGAGAGUUUCAACAAUAAGGUGAAGGAGUUAAAAGAUUUGCCUGUGCAUGACAUGGUUGACCAAAUUAGGAUCAUGCUCAUGCGGUUGUGGGAAUUGAGAAGAAGGAUAGGUGAUUGUCUGCAAGGUGAUAAGCUUCCAGCAGUGGUACAACAGGUGGUCAAUAGGAGCAGAAGUCUUUCACAUUUGUUUGUUGAAAAAUCUUCACCUUGGGGUGCUGAAGUUAGAGAUAACAAAACUGGAAGGAGACAUGUUGUUAACACUGAAUUGCAUGAUUGCACUUGCCUCGAGUGGCAACACACUGGUAAACCAUGUGAGCAUGCCAUUCUUUUCUUAGCAUCCCAACCGAAGAUAAACAUGCACCCAUAUCUGCAUGAAUAUUAUUCGGUAGCAAGAUUCAAAGCUGCAUAUGCUACUCCAAUUCCAGCACUUACAGAUCAGUCUCAGUGGCCUGAAGUGGACAUUGAAUUUUCCAUGUGUCCUCCCUUGAUGAAAAGAAAGGCUGGCAGGCCUGAACAGAGUAGAUUCAAGGUAUGGUUUGAGAAAGGUGGGAGUAGUAAGAAGGGAAAGAAAGAUGAAAAGCCAAAAAGGGCCCAAAAAGGUAACAAAAAUAGAUGCAAGUUGUGCCAGGAACUUGGGCACAGAGUGGGAUCUAUCAAAUGCCGUUACACUCCUGAUAAGCCAAAGUAUGUUCUUGUUUAUUUGUCUGUGUUUUGAUUUGGUGCUUUUUCCCAAUUAGUAUAUCUAUAACAUUUUCUGCACAGGAGGAAGCGAGCAAGUCAGCCCCUUGUUGUUGAACAGUGUUGGCCAACCAAAAAAGCAAGAGUCAAUGGCGGUAGAAAGAAGAGAAGUGUGCCUGAGCCUGAGCAGACUGAAGAAAAUCCUGCUGCAGUCAACAUUCAGACUGAAGAAACUGAUGUGGAGGUGCACACCGAAGAAACUGAAUUUGAGCGUGUCGAGGUUCAGACUGAAGAAACUGAACCUGAGCGUGUCGAGGUUCAGACUGAAGAAACCCAUGUUGAGGUACACACCAAAGAAACUGAAACUGUUGUCAACAUUGAGACUGAAGACACUGAUCACGAUGGUAUUGGCGAGGUGUUGAAAAGACCAGUGAAGAAAACCAAGAUGAUCAGUGAACUUGUGUGUGUAGUAGAACCAAAAAUAAGAAGGGCUAAGGCGAAGAAGGGCACACAACGUGGUAGGAAGAAGUAGAACAGAGAAUAGUUUGAAAAUUUGGGACAUGUAAUAAUAUUUGUAACUUGGUGCGUACUGGUAGUCACUAUGUAUCCCCAUAUUUCUAUUCGAACUUGUUUGUCUAAACCGCCCGUCUAAACCAGCGAAAUAAAAUUUAAAUUUAAAUUUAAAUUUGGGCUAUUGAUGUUUUAGUGCUAUCUAAAGUACCUCAACUGAAAUAUGUUUGCUUGCUGAUCAUUCCGAGCCCUUUUGGUAAGUUGAACUCAUAGUCAUGAAAAGUGUGUUUCAAAUGACCUCCAAAGGUAGGGUAAACGGCCUCAUAUUUAAGCAAGUUUUUUUGGCACCUUGUCUAAACUAGCCAAAUAAUUUUUCUACACAUCUAUUCUACCUAUAUAGUGUAAAUCUAAAGUCUCACUAUUUAUUGAAUUAAUUUUCUAUUUUUUCUUUUCUUUUUGAAAAAACAAGGUUUAAUAGAAAAUUAUAUAUAAAACAAGUUUAAAACAUGAAAAUGAGAAAAGUAAGUUCAGAUCUUUCUUAGUCAAUCCAAAAUGAAGUUUUGGUGAGGUUUUCACACUUUUCAUUUUCAAAACUCCACCUACUCUCGGGUGCCCACUACUCUCUUCCUUCAACUCCAUACUACAUUGUUUGAGGAAUAACAAUUUUGUGAAGGAUUUUUCGUAAAAAUGUAUGUAAACCAUAUUUAUAUUUUUUUCUCGUUACUAUACGACAUAAUAAGACUAUGUGUGCAAGUUUUAUAUUUUUUUGAUUUUUUUUGAAUUAGUUAUGCUCAACCCUAAUCAGUCAAAACCUCUCAAAACCCCUCAAAACCCCUCUCAAAACCCCUCAAAACCCCGCACACUACCUGGUCGUCGAUCGUUGUGCGUGGACGGUUGAGAUCAGGCGCUAGGGUUAGCUACAGUGUGCAGCGAUCCGCAUGAGACGCGCUGAUUGGUUGACGCGGUGGGGUUUGGAUCAGCCUCUCUCGUUGGAGCAUCAGGACCGUUCAUUUGAAUCCAACGGCAAGAGUUGACGUGGUGCAUGGACCAAGCCUACGGAGUGCCCUUUCCAUCGUUGCAUGCGUGCCCGUGCCUACCCGCAGCAUGCAUGCCCACCCGCAGGACUGCACCCGUGCGUUGCAUGCAUGCCUCGACGUAGCCCUGCUCCGCCACCCCUAUCAACGCAGUAACCUGUCGCAUGCCUACCAUUAGAACCGAUGCAGCGUCGCAUCAAAGCAUGCACCCGGCCACAAUGCAGCAGCCCGAUGAAGACAACCAAAAAGCCAAUGCUGCAUGGCGUGGUGUGCACGCUGUGCAUGGCGUGCUCCUCUUUGACGACGCAAUACUGGCAUGGUAUCGAUGGGGCCCGUAUCGAUGUGGGUAUCGAUGCAGUUCAAAUGGCGUGAUGCCCAUUACAAGAUGGGCAAAAGAAGGCGUACAUUAUUGUCACGUCUCCCAUCGACCGAACCUUGCCCUCUAGCCAGGCCCAUUAAUGGCAUGCAUGCACGGGCGGCACACGCAGAGAACCCGGGGAAGGCGUGUCCCCUUGACCCACGACGGCACAGACGCGUGCGUGAGCCCGUCCCCCUUGACCCACGACCGGUGGCACAGAAGCGUAGCAGUCCGUUUCCCACGGCCACGCUCGUGUACAUGCUUUCAUGGGGCGCCACCAAACGCCGCCCGCCCAUUAAUUCUAGGGUUUCGACGGGGUGAAACGACGUCACACUUGGGCUAUUUAAGUCGGGCACUAUCGCCCUCUCCCUCCUCAUCCAUCAUACCCCAUCCUCUGCCUCCUCUGCCCUUCUUCUUCAUUCUUCUCCAUCAAACCCGACCGAGCACUCGAGCCACCCCGCCACCAUGCAGUACACCGCCCCCACCUACCGCUUCCUCCCAACCGUGCCGGAAAGGCUCUACCCGGCCGGAGUGUAUGUAGAGAGAACCCUUAGGGUUUGGGCGAUCUCGAGAUGGAGGGGCGCAAGGGAGUUAACGGAGUUCUUCCUUGCGGCCGGCUUCCGCCACCUCCCCCGCGGCUCUCCUCGGAUGUACCAUGUUGAGGAGGUCAACCACAACGGCGUUGUGGUUGGGCUCCUCGCCACGUUCACUAACCCUUUCGAUGCUUUCCAUCUCCUCGGGCGAGCGUAUUGGGUUGGUUGUGAGUUCAUAGCUUUCACCACCUACAAUAUCUUCACCGACUUCCAGAGCAUCUUCCCCAACAACGGCGUUAUGCACACGCUCCCGUACCCCAUCAACAACGGGGAGGAGUGAAGGACGGCGCCCGGAGGAGCGAGGUGGCGUUGUUCCCCGGGAGAAGGAGAAGAAGAGCCCGAAGAAGAACCCGCGUUUGGUGCCCCCCGAUCUAUCUAGCUUAUCGUAUUAGUUUUUUUAAGUUGUAUUAGUAUUUUAAGUUGUAAGGCUAUCAUGGAGUUGUAAGGUUAUCGUGGAACUAUGGGUUGCAAUAGUUAUGCUACUAUAUAUAUUGUGUGUUUCGUGCUAUUAUUUGAAGAUUGCUAUGGGUUGUUCUUGCUUAUUAUUUGUGUAUUGCUAUGGGUUGCUACGAGCCCGGGUUGCUACACCUCAAUCUCACCACACACACACCAUCUUCAAAAUAUUGGCCAAACCAUGGACAUGCAACUAGGAGCCCCAUGCAAACCCACUAUGGACAUGCCACUAGGAAAUGCAAACUAAUUUACUUCAUGCAACUCAUUUAGUUCAUGGAACCGUAGACAUGCAUAAAAACAAUUAACAUUUGGUUUUAUUGCAUCAAAAAAUGAUCCAUCACAAAAUUUAGUGCAAGAAAAAGGCCAAAAAAAUAAGUAACAUUUUAUUUGCCGAAGUUAGAGGUGGGCUGGUGCCGCUACGCGGGUGGGCUGGUGCCCCUACGCGGGCGGGCUGGUCUCUAUUUUGGGCAUGGUUAUUUUCUCAGGGUCCAUUUUCUCACGGCCCAACAUCUAUUCGGCAGCCCAGUUUUGUUUUUUUACUAGAAACUGAAUUUGGGUGUGUACUCUGUUAACUGAAGAACAAAAACAGAGGAAACAGAGCAUCAACACUGAAUAUGGCCCCUGAGAAUAUCAUUACAAUAAUUCAAGCAAGUUUUGCUUCACACGAAUUCAAGUUCAUCUAACAAAUGAUCCCUGGCUAACUCAAACUACUGGGCACCCCUGAAACUAGCUGACUAACUAACUGAAACUAUAACAAAUUCUAGCGAUUGAUGAACAUCAAGUAAAAUAAACCCAUAGCAAUGACACAACCAUAAAAUGCUCCCACCAUCAUAUUUGCUUGUUGCUUCAAAUCGAUCAGAUGCUUUAGUUGCUUGCCAAUUUUCUUCAAUUCACACUUCAGUUCUGCACUGUGCAUCAUCGGAUCGGCUCUGUCCGCCAAAUUGGGGGCUUGUUCCACGGCAAGCCGCCCCCCAAAAUUGAGCUCUUGGGUUGGGGUUGAUCCCUCCAAUUUCAACCUUUCAACAUAUUCAUCGAGCCACUCAAAAUGCCCACAUUUCUUCAGAACCUGAAAACAGGGGGCCGGCGGCGCAUGAAUCCUAGAUCCACCACCCAGAUCCACCGCCCUAAUUCGAGGGAAAAAGAAAGAAAUCGGGAGAAAUUAGACCAUAGAAUUGGUCAAGAACACAGAUCUAACCUGCCCCGGCUGUGGCUUGCUCAAACAUUUCACAAACUCGCGCCCACGGUUGCCAUUUUCUUCCCUCACACAAGUCAAACGCUUGAGAGGCUCCAUGCGUGGGCAAUCGGGGCAUCUUGUCAAUGGCAGUGGACCAUACUGCGUCCAUGGUUGGAGGUGGCUGAAGUCGAGCUAGACAUCACUCGCCGGCGGCGCGCUUCGUUGCCGGAGUAGAGGAAGAAGAAGGUGGGAAAGGAAAGGGGCAGGGUAAGCAAUGGAGGGGGGCGGGCUGGCUCGGGUCGGGGCACGCUGAUGAGCACGGGCAUGCUUGUGUGGAUAAGUUGUGGGUCCCACCCGCAUGCGAGUAACUGGUGGGUCCCGCGUGUCAUAACUCAAAUCGCUAACCCUCGUGUUUUUCAUUUCACGGUUAAACAGAGCCAUGUCGCAUUGGAGCUAUUUACACGCUCAAGUGUGUCGCAUCACAGCCAUUAACUCGAACAACGUCGCACUCAAGCAAAUUCACAUCAAAAACGUCGCACAGGAGCUAUUGGCCCCUCUGCGCACGCCACGCAGCUGGAGCGAUGAGGAGGGCGCCGGCGGCGGCAUUCCUGCUGCUGGCGCUGCUCGCGGCGGCGGAGGCGAGUGGUCCGGAGGGCGGCGAGCAGGCGUGCGACAAGGGGUGGGAGCGCAGCGGCAGCAGGCUCUGCUGCAAACGGAACAUCACCGACUUCUUCAAGGCCCGCCACUUCGAGGAGCUCUUCCCCAGGCGGAACGACACCAUCGCCCACGCCGCGGGAUUCUGGGACUACCCGGCCUUCAUCGCCGCCGCCGCCCUCUUUGAGCCCCGCGGGUUCGGCACCACCGGCGGCAAGGAGAUGGGCGUCAGGGAGGUCGCCGCCUUCCUCGCCCACGUCGGCGCCAUCACCUCGUGUACGCUUCUCCCGUGUCCCGACUCUGGUUCGCCUUGAUUUGCAUAUCAGUCAGGGAUCUCCUGAAUACUAGUCCGAUGUGGGAUCAGUCUAAUUGCUGCUAUAAACAUACUCGAGCACUCCACACCAUAGGCAAAACAGUAUAGAGAUGCUUAUGCUGCUAAUAGGAUAUGCAGAGAAAGCUGACAAACAUAGACAGACCAUCACAAAUUUCAGCAUGCCCAACAGGAUUUAGCUGUGCAAAAUGUUCAAAGAGUCAUCCCUGGCAAGUAACAGCGGAAGUUGAUGAGUGACACAUAUAACAGGUGAAACAAGACGGAUGCGUUUGCUGCAGAGGUGGAAUUGUACCAAAUUUUGCAUGGCAGCAGAAUGUUGUUAAAAGAUAGAGGCGUGAGCUACAUAGGUUGAAACUAAAAUCUGUCUGUAAUUAUUGAAUUGCCAAACUGUGAUGCCGCAUGCUAAUUACUUUCCACUGUAGUAACAUGUGCAGUUCUUCAUAAGAAUAUGGGAAGGAUUUUGGUAAAUUUUAAACCCAUUUUGAUCUGCAGAGAAUAUCAUUGUUUAAGGUAUUGUGAUUGUGCUAUAUGUUCAGUGUGACUGUGACUGUUGACCAUACUAUUAUAAAUUUUAGAUCCGUUUUGAUAUUAGCAUCAAACAAAUACUGGAACUGUUACUCCUUCAGGUGGACGUUUUUAUCCAAAUCCAAUGGCAUGGGGUCUUUGCUACAAGCGUGAAAUGAGCCCAUACCAGAACUUCUAUUGCGAUGACAGCAACGAAUUAUAUCGCUGUGUCGAAGGACUUCAAUACUAUGGCCGAGGCGGCGAGGCCCUCUUCCUGUUUACUGGUCAGGCCAAUAUAUCCCUCUCUCUGUUGUCGUUAAGUAUGAAUCAACAAGAGAUGAUUCUGGAACUGCUUGUUCACUACCCUCAGUGUUAGACUGUAUUUACAUGUGUAUAUUGUAACGUUGUAUACCACCUCAUUAUAUAUAUAUGUGAUAGGCCACCCCUAGAGGGUUGUGCCAGUUCCCCCCAAAGCCUAUUGUCUUACAUGGUAUCAGAGCGAUCCGGAUCAGAGAAACCCGGAGGCUGGCGCAUGUAAACCUCCUCCGCCAAGACACCAUGAAGAAAAGCAUUUUGAACAUCAAGCUGACGAAGAAACCAACCUCGAGUAACAGCCAGAGAGAGAAGAAGUCUGAUGGUAGUAGGCUUGACCACUGGACUGAAGGUGUCUUCAUAGUCAAGUCCAAAACGCUGUCGAAAACCACGAGCAACCAGACGAGCCUUAUAGCGCUCAAUGGACCCAUCAGAAUGCCUCUUCACUUUGAAAACCCAUUUGGAAUCAAUGACAUUUACCCGUGAUUAUGGAGGAACAAGAGUCCAUGUCUGAUUGCGAAGAAGCGCUUGAUACUCCUGCUCCAUGGCCUCUCUCCAAUGAGGAAUGCGCAUAGCAGCUUGAUACGUGCGUGGCUCAGAGGAUGGAUCUGCGAGAGCAGCAGACAUGCACGCCGCUAACCAAGCAACUGUGCCAUCGUGAUGUUGCUUAGGCUGAAAAAUGCCACUCCGACUGCGCGUAUGUGGACGUAGAGCAGCAGCAGGAGCCGGCGGAGGCGAAGGUGACGGAGACGUGACGGUCGCCGGAGAUGCAGGAAUCACCUCAGGCGAGCUCGGGACAGACGACUCCGGGCUGCAUGGCGAAGACUGGCCCGACGACAGGGGCUCAGAGGCCAUGGGCGAACCGAGAGUGGGCGAGGCCAGCUCCGGUGACACCGGCCCAGACGGCCUUGGCGAGGCGAGAGCAGGCGAGGCCGGCCCUGGUGAGAAGGGCCCAGACACCCUGGGCGAGGCAGGGGCGGGCGAGGCCAGGCCUGGUGAUGACUGCCCCGACGCCCUGGGCGAGACGGGGACCGAGGAGGCCGGCCCAGUCGGCGGGGUUGCAGGGCGCGACGAUGGCGAAGGCAGCCCAGAAGCCAGAGGCGACCGGGCCAGGACAUCGAUCGGCCGUGCAUGAGCACGGAAACCGAGGCCAUGCAGGGGCGCCAUGUGCUCCUCAUGCACAACAGAAGGUGCCGAGGAUGAAGGCAAUGGCGACGAAGAGGAAGAUGGCGCUUCCAGAAUCUCCAAACGAGCCCCACGACCAGUGCCUGCACCAUGGUUAGGCAACAAUAGAGGAGAAUAUGCAACAUCAUCAAAUUGGUCAGAAGCAACAGAGGAUGAAUGCAUGACAGGUGGCUCGGUAGUGGACACAGGGAGUUUGGCAAAGGGAAAAACAUGCUCAUCAAACACAACAUCCCGAGAGAUGUAGACACGAUUAGUGGGAACAUGAAGACAUUUGUAUCCUUUAUGAAGAGAGCUAUAACCAAGAAAAACACACUUCUUGGAACGAAACUCGAGCUUACGCUUGUUAUAUGGACGGAGAUGGGGCCAGCAAGCACACCCAAACACCUUGAGAAAGGUGUAAUCCGGUUGUUCAUUAAGGAGAACUUCAAUGGGGGUCUUCAUAUUCAAAACACGAGUGGGAGUACGAUUGAUGAGAAAACAUGCAGUGGUGAAAGCAUCACUCCAAAAACGAAACGGAACAGAUGCAUGGGCCAAAAGAGUCAGACCAGCUUCAACAAUGUGACGAUGCUUACGUUCUACUGAACCAUUCUGCUGAUGUGUAUGUGGACAUACUAAACGGUGAGUGAUCCCAAGCGACUGAAAGAAGGAGUUGAGGUUGCGAUACUCGCCACCCCAGUCCGACUGAACAUGAACAAUUUUGUGCUUGAGAAGGCGUUCAACAUGUUUUUGGAACUGAACAAAAAAUGUCAAACACAUCAGAUUUACGUUUGAUAAGAUAAAGCCAGGUAAAGCGGCUGUAAGCAUCAACAAAACUGAUAUAAUAAUUAUGACCACUAACAGAAGUCUGAGCAGGACCCCAUACAUCUGAAAACACAAGUUCUAAAGGAUGUUUCACCUCACGACUGGACUCCGAAAAAGGAAGUUGAUGACUCUUCCCCUGCUGACAAGCAUCACACACUGCUACAUCUUUAUUACUAGACACACUAGGAAGCUCAUGACGACGCAAAACAUGCUGGACAAUAGGUGUGGCCGGGUGACCAAGACGAGCAUGCCACUGUGACGGAGAUACCCGAACUCCACUGAAGACGCGAGCGACGCCAGGAUGCUCCAGAUGAUAGAGACCUUGGCAGAGCCGCCCACUAAGAAGAAUGUCCCUCGUGCCCCGAUCCUUAAUAAAAAGAUCAAAAGGAUGAAAUUCACAAAGCACAUUAUUAUCACGAGUGAGUUUAGGAACUGAAAGAAGAUUACGUGUCACAGAUGGAACUCGAAGAACAUUGCGAAGUUGAAGACUCCUAUUGGCAUGUCUAGUGAGAAGUGAUGCUUGACCAAUAUGAGAGAUGUGCAUACCUGCUCCAUUGGCGGUGUGGAUCUUGUCGGAGCCAUGGUAGGGUUCACGAGUGUGAAGCUUCCCCAUCUCACUGGUUAGGUGCUCUGUCGCCCCAGAGUCCAUGUACCAGUGGGGAUCAAUGGAGUAGGACUGAGUGUAUCCCUGUGGCUUCUGCGGCGGCGGACGAUCAGCCAUGGCGACCUGACGAGCAAAGUUGCAUGUAUCCUUCCCAUCAUUGCCAAGACCAAGAAAACCCCGCUGGAAGCGCUUGUGACACUUCGAGGCCCAGUGCCCAUCGCGACCACAAAGCUGGCACACACGUGGACCGCCAGCCCCUGGUAGCGUCGCAGUAGGAGGAGGGGCCGAGGCGGGUGGUGGUGACUGCCCCGAAGGAGCCCUGGAUGAAGCAGAGGAGCGACCACCCUUGGUGGCGGCGUUUGCCGAGAGGGCGCCGUUGCCCCUGGAUCGGCGCGUCUCGACUCGUUGCUCGGUAAGCAGGAGGCGUGAAAAGACCUCGUGUGCUGGCAUGGGCGUGGAGUUGCCCCUCUCAUUGAUGAUCUCGACUAGGGCGUCAUACUCCUCAUCAAGACCAUUGACAAUAAACGAGUUGAACUCGGAGUCGGUGAGGGGCUGUCCAAUGGAGGCCAGCGUGUCGGCGAGACUCUUGACUUUGUUGUAGAACUCAGUGGCGGUGGAGUCAAGCUUCUGACACUCCCCAAGUUGGCGACGGAGCCCAGAUACACGAGCCUGCGACUGUGCCGCAAACGAGCGCUCAAGAAUAGUCCAUGCCUCGUGGGACGUCUUGGCGAAGACAACAAGCCCAGCAACGGCCGGAGAGAGCGACCCCUGGAUGGAGGAGAGGUUCGCCUGAUCCUGCCCUGUCCAGACACGGUGAGCCGGAUUAUAGACCAGACCAUGCACGCUGUCAACCAGCGCAGGAGGGCAAGGGAGAGAGCCGUCGACAUAGCCAAGCAGGUAGUGACUCCCAAGAAGCGGAAGAACCUGCGCGCGCCAGAAGAUGUAAUUGUCCGACGACAACUUGAUGGUGAUGAGAUGGCCGAAGUGAAACGGCGGCGGCGGCUGCGAUCCCAUCGAGGAGACUGGCUGAGGUGAGAACACCGUGGAGACAGUCGGAGGGGCAGCCGGCGCGGUGACAGAGGGCGCGAUGGCCGCGGUUGACGCCGCGAAGCCUGCCAGCGCGACGUCCUCCGCCACCAGCGGCGCAGUGGCCGAGGGUGCGACAGCCGCGGUUGACGGGGCGGCUGUGGUGUGGGCCACAAGCGCCUGCCCGGGCGAAGUAGCAGCCGGCGGGAGCGCGAAGAGGGAGCCGACGCUCCGUGUCCCGAUCGGCGCCUGAAGGGAGGCGGCAUCCAGCGGCCUCGAGAGAAGUGCCGCGAGGGAGGCCGGCAGAAAACCGGUGGUGGUGGAGCCGGACGCAGCGGCGGACGUCAUAGCAGUCGGGCGACGGCGGCGGCGGGCGCGGCGGCGGCGGCGGCGGCGGCGGCGGUGCAAUGGCUCUUCGUGCUCAUGGUUUUGCAUCAUCAACUGCUGACUCCUCAUUGUUUCUUCUUCAAAGGCCUGAGGUUACUAUGUACUUGUUGGUCUAUGUAGAUGAUAUCAUUUUGGUCAGCUCCUCUCAGUCGGAUGCUACUGCGCUUGUUCGCUCACUUGGUGCUGAUUUUGCGGUCAAGGACCUUGGGAAGCUUCAUUACUUUCUUGGUGUGGAGGUUACUUCUCGUGCUGCUGGUCUUGUUAUGACGCAGAAGAAGUACUCUCUGGAUUUGUUGCAGCGAGCUGGGAUGCUUAAGUGCAAACCGACGACUACACCCAUGUCUACCACUGAUAAGCUCAAUGCUGUUGAUAGUGUGCUUCUUUCUUCUUCUGAUGCGACCGAGUACCGGAGUAUUGUUGGUGGGCUCCAGUACUUGACGAUCACGCGAUCAGACAUUUCCUAUGCUGUUAACCGAGUCUGCCAGUAUCUGCAGUCACCCCGUGACACUCAUUGGUCUGCUGUUAAGCGGAUUUUGCGCUAUAUUCGUUUCACGGUGGCUCAUGGUUUGCAUAUUCGGCCGUCUGACUCUGGUUGUCUUUCAGCAUAUUCUGAUGCAGACUGGGCUGGCAAUCCGGAUGACAGGCGAUCCACGGGGGGUUAUGCUGUCUUCUUUGGCUCUAACCUGAUUGCCUGGAGUGCUCGGAAACAGGCUACUGUCUCGCGUAGCAGUACUGAGGCUGAGUAUAAGGCUGUGGCCAAUGCCACAUCAGAGAUUAUCUGGGUAUAGUCCUUGCUUCAGGAGUUAAGUAUACCCCAAUCACAGCCUCCUGUUCUUUGGUGUGAUAACAUCGGUGCUACAUACCUUUCUGCAAAUCCGGUAUUCCAUGCCCGAACGAAACACAUUGAAGUUGACUAUCACUUUGUGCGUGAACGUGUCUCUCAGAAGCAACUACAGAUCAAGUUUAUUUCUUCCAAGGAUCAACUUGCUGACAUCUUCACCAAGCCAUUGCCUUUGCCACAGUUUGAGACUUGCAGGCGCAAUCUUACCCUUCUAGAUUCAUUAGAAAGUGGCUAAGAUUGAGGGAGGGUGUUAGACUGUAUUUACAUGUGUAUAUUGUAACGUUGUAUACCACCUCAUUAUAUAUAUAUGUGAUAGGCCACCCCUAGAGGGUUGUGCCAGUUUCCCCCAAAGCCUAUUGUCUUACACUCAGGAACUAUAACUACGGUAUCAUCGGUAAGGGUAUCAAGCAGGAUCUGUUGAGCCACCCAGAGUUGCUGCAACAGAAUGCCACCCUAGCAUUUGAGGCAGCAAUCUGGAGGUGGAUGACUCCAGUGAAGUGGAGACAGCCGUCAGCCCACGAUGCCUUCGUUGGUAACUGGAAACCAAGCAAGAAUGAUCUUUUGUCUAAGAGAUAUCCGGGCUUUGGCACUACAAUGAAUAUCAUGCGUGGUGAUCGCAUCUGCGGUCAAGGGUUCACUGAUGAGAUGAAUAACACUAUAUCCCACUACAUAUAUUAUCUCGGCUUGAUGGGAGUUAAUCAUGAGCACUCUGGGCGUAGCUUGGAUUGUGCCGACCAGGUGGUAUUCAAUCCGUCCUCGAAGAGUUUGGGCUCAUAAACAAAGCCGCUUGUCAGUGUGAUAUCCAUGGAUGUGCCCUUUGCGUAAUUGCACUUGAGAUCGGCCAUCUGGCUUCCCUAACUGUAGAAAGCAUAUCUCUGAAUCUGUACAGUAUUCUUUAAGCAGCUGGGAAUAUUACAUUGUGGGCAUGCCGCCUAUCUCUUGGUAUGUGAUUUUCUUUUCAUGCUUAAUGAAGCACAUAAUUGACAUUUUAAGUUUUUAACACGUGAAAAUUUGUUACUGUAUUUAUAUUGUUAUUAGAUGAGUUUUAUUUUUCAUCGAACCUUGCCUUGCUCCUUUUUUUACAGCACACUCAUUGCCUUGCUACUUUCCUGACUAUGGCUGCAGAACUUUCUGAAUAUUCUGUGUGUUUUCUGAAUUCUGUCAAUGCUGUGUUGGCCAGUUCUGCAGUCUGGAGUACGUUUAGAGAACAGUUUUAGAAGGCUAAGAGCACAAACGGGUAGAUGGUAAGAUAUAUGGUUCUUGCAGAAUUACCAAGGGACAGGUAUUGACCAGCUCAUCCUAGCCCUGUGCACCGUCAGUUGGGACACUACUGACUACACCAGCAUUUCAGUUAAGACAAUUUGAUCUGCCAGUGCAUCAUUUCUGCGAGGUGAUUCCUUCCAGCUGAGUCUGAAUGCCUGUCUUGUCAAUCGUAGCUCUGUUUUUGAUGAUACAGUAAAAUAGAUAACUACGUAGUUUUGAGCUUUUGAUUAUACAGUAAAAAAAAGAUAACUACGUAUAGCUUUGAUUAUUGCUAUCUGAUAUGGCACUUCGCAAAACAUUAUUACUGCUGUAAUGUAAAGAUUGUUCUAAUGAACUUUGGUGACAUACGGAUCGGAAUCAAAUCUCAUGACAUGGAAAAAAAUGGAAACAGAUCCAAUCUUAAUGCCAAUCUUCACCAAUUACAGGGACAUACUAUAUAGUAAGAUAAUGAUCGAUACAAUAUUUGCCUCUUCCUUUCCUUGUAUCAUUCGACAGAGAAGGAAAGAAAAAGGCGAGGCAGUACUAAAACACGAAGGAACGCCGAACUAAGCCCUCGGCUUCUGUUCGUCUCCGCCGUGCCUCCGAGGUUAGCCCAUAGUAGCCGGAAACGGGGAACGGUAGGCCGUCCCUCGAUCCCGAUUCAUCGACCCGGAAUCGGAUUCGGGAACGAGGUCGGAUUCGGUACGAUUCGGUACGAUUCGGCGUCCCCGCAGCCUGCUCCUCGAUUCAGGUUCCAGGAUCCAACAGACAAAACGCGAGGCAUAAUUUACUCACGCCGUCGUUUCUUUUCUCAAGGACUCCUCGUUUUUCCUCCAGUCCAUUAAUUGCAAGGGAUCCAUUAACAGCAAGGAAUGCUGACCGUCAGGGAGUCGUCGUUCUUCAGGAACUGCGUUCCUCGAUCCAUGGUACCGUACCGGGUUCAUCGUACCCAAAUGGAUUGGAUCGCGUCCCCGCUAUAAAAAAUUCGUUCGAGAGAUGUAUACCUUCGUUGUACCCUAUUUUUUUCAGCCACCGACUCUCGUCCCUCGUUCCCGUUUCUCGUUCCCACCGUGGCAACUAUGGGUUAGCCCCGCCGCGCGAGACCUCGACACGGAUCCAUUCGCUUCUUCAUCCUGCAGUAUUUUUGCCGUCGUCAACAGACAACAGGCCCCACGAUUGUUCCGGGAGUACGUCCUCCACGGAGCCGCCGAGACUUCCCUCUCGUCCCCGCACCUUGCCUUCAUCCUCCUUCAGUACAUUUGGUAAUGCAUCUCUCUUAUUUCCCUUUUUGAAAAAAGGAACCCAUCUCCGUGGUACUUCUGGAGACUGUUGUCUCUUGUAUUAGCGAUCUAGUUGGAUGGUACGUUGAAACAACAAAGGAGGAUUUCUUAAGUAUUUUGACUGUUAGGGUUUCAGUUUUGGCACUGAUUGUAUGCAACUGCUCACAACUUUGGGGAUAUGAUUGCGUAGCUUUACAUUCUACAGACAUUGCCAAGGAUCUCUUGAUUCUGAAUAAUGCCCACAAACAGACGGACUACAUGCAUAUAUAUCAUUUAUCAGUCUCCCAAUUAGUCCAGAAAUUUUCACAUUGUGUUCUGCAAUGACCACGUUUGUGGGCCAAUAUAUAGUAUAUUUACAUGAACGGAAUUUUUACAGGCCCAAGUGUAUUCCUAAUUGAUUUUAACUUCUAUAUAUAUGCCUACUAUCUUAGUAGCCAAGAACUAGCUUAUAUAAAUCUUCAUUAUUGAAAUCAAGUUCAUGGCUGUGACACCACGUCAAUGGAGGUUCAGAGGACCAUGUGUAUUCCUAAUUGUUUUGAAUUUCUAUGUAUAUACGUACUAUUUUAUUAGUAGCCAAGAACUAGCUUAUAUAAAUCUUCAUUGUUGAAAUCAAGUUCAUCGCUGUGCCAGCAUACAUUUUCAGGCAUUUCGACCGGAUGCAAUUCUAAUCUGCGCACUCAUGUGGGGAAAAUUUUAGGUGUUCACUCUCAACCUUCAUAUUUCCCAGUAUACAUAGCAUAUAUGAUUUAGCCUACCUUCUCUGUAUGGAUCUUUUGAUACUUUCGAUUUUUUUCAGGAUAGGUUAUGGCGGAUAGAUCAACUAUUGCCCACCUAAUAUAUGGAAUUUUACUUGUGUCUGGCUUCACAAGAGGUGCGUGAAAAUUUAUCUUCCAUCUCAUAUGAAACAUCGUUGCUACAUAUUCCUUGCAGUGAGUAAAUUAUGUCUCUCGACAAAUUAAUUAUCCUAUAUGUAGUUUUUUAUCCUGUAGUUCUCAAAUGCAAAUUAAGCAUGCUUAUUAUUAUUUCGCUGUUGACUAAGGGGCCCCAGGUUCUAGUUUCGCUCCGGGCCCUCAAAAUCUCACGACCGGCCCUGUUCACACUAAAGAGAUUUACGAGAAGGUCCGCCGCCUGAGGUAUAGUACCGUUUUGUGCAGGAUGCCGCUACUUCCAUAGAGCCGCUGUGUGGCAACGCCAAGGAGCUUUGAAGUACGAGAUCUUCGACAAAAUUUGGGGUGAUUUGCCACCAUUGCCCAAUGGCGGAAAGAUGAAGGGCAAAGCUUAUCACGCGUUAGGACCACGUGUCCGCAGGGACUUUGAGGAGCUCCAGGAUGUGUACCCUCACCUCGCUUUGGCUCUGGAGAAAAUCGCCACCGCCACCGAUGGGCAGGACCCUCUAAAGAGGGCGUUUGAGUUGAUUGAUGAUGCUAAAUCCCGCAAACUGAAUGAGAAAGUGAAGAAGCAACGGGUUCUCGAGAUCAAGGCAGAGCUAUACCGUGCUAGCGUACGGGUUGAGAUGUUUAGCAUGUUUAUCAAAUUUAUUUGAAUCCAUCAAACGCGUAGGCUCACCCCGUACGCAUUUUAAUGUACACAUCCGUGUUACGUAGACGUAUGCAUUCUUCUUUAAAAAUAUAGCAGUUUCACACCUCCUCAGCAUGCAUGACAUUUGAUGGAUUCAAACCAAGUUGGUAAACAUGCUAAGCACCUCACCCCCAUACACUAGCACGGUCCAGCUCUGCCUUGAUCUCCAAAACCCGCUGCUUCUUCACUUUCUCAUUCAGGUUGCGGGCUUUAGCAUCAUCAAUCAACUCAAACGCUCUCUUCAAAGGGUCCAGCUCAUCGGUGUCGGUGGUGAUCUUCUCCACCUGCAGAGCGAGGUGAGGGUACACAUUCCGGAGCUUCUCAAAGUCUCUGCGGACACGUGGUCCUGGCCUGAUAAGCCUUGCCCUUUCCGCUAUUGGACAAUGGUGGUGAAUCACCCCAAAUUUUGUCGAAGAUCUCGUACUUCCAAAGGUCCUCAGCGUUGCCACGCAGCGGCGCUCCAGUAGCAGCAGCGGCUCGCAUAGAACGGUACUUAUCCCUCUUGCGGCGGACCUUCUCGCAAAUCUCUUUUAUUGUGGACUCCUUGUCAAGAAUGUGUCCGUGGAGGACACCACGCAGCUCGGAGCGACCUGGAGGAGGCCCAUAUGUUUUGACGUGGCGAUGAGUCCCUCGAGGAUGCGAACCUCGUCUUGUGCCGACCAAACAUGAACAUAUGCGCCUCGCUUUCCUCCCUUCCUCUUGGCUCGACGACGCCUUUUCUUCUCCUCGAAAGCGGCGACAUCCCUCGCAGAGGAUCACGGCCAAGAAGCGGACACGUUGGCCUCAAGGACUCUUCAUCUUCCUUCUGGACUCUGAUGUAAUGUCACCAUUAGUCAAAAUAGCUAUUGCAUCUAAAAUGCAUAUGCAUUUGUGAUGUUCGAUAGUUGUUGUUUGUAGAGUUAGCUGAGUUGAGAAAGUAGUACCUCUAUUCACUAAUGUAAGACGUUUUGGCAGUUUAAAUUGAACUGCCAAAACAGCUUGCAUUAGUGGACAGAGGGUGUUUACAUUAGCAAUGUUUAGCUAUCUGCUCAAGAAAUUUUGUUUAGCCGCAACUACUACUCCAACUAUAUGCCUUUAAUCUAGACAGAGGUCACAAGACAUAUUUUGAUCUUUAAAAAGAGAUACUUUGUGGUCAUACUAAUCUAUUUGCAUCGCAUCCAAUUCAUCUACAUGUCAUGAGCUAGCCACGUGGUUUCCUUUUGCCAUAUAAAAUUUACUUUCAUACUACUAAUGUGUGUUCAUCUUAUAUGAAAAUUUUAGCCUCUUACGGUGCCUUAUGACAUCCUGUGUCCAGUAUGUGACGGUGAUAAUUAUCUUUUUUUUCAUUAUAUUCUGACUGUAUUGUCCAUCUUGCGGAUGAUAUUAUAUUACCUAGUCUACCGGACAUUCUCUCGUAACUCUGAGUUUUCCUUUUUGUAUGUGGUGAUCAACUACUUUUUUUUUAUCUGGUGGUGAUCAACUACUGAUAGGUAAACAAUCCACUUUGGACCUUAUUUGUUUCGUGUAAGUCGACCCCUUUUCCAUGAUGACUUAACUGCCUCUUCGCAUGUCAUAUGGAGCUUCGAGUUAGCGACUUCUUACAGAUAGCAUCCAGUCAGGUUGCUCUUUAAUAAUAGAUCUGAUUACUACAGAUUCACGUGGCUCCUUGUAUGGAGUAAAUGUCAGUGUUAUUUGAUUUCCUACCAAUUUAAAUUUCUUCUUUAGGAAUCUUCGUCCAUGAAUGUAAUGCACUCAAGAAUCGAGCAAAUUCCUUUUUUUUGCUGUUGAAGAUGGUUGCCCUUCGGUACAAACCAAUGAGGAUUUCAUCAGCACACCAUGCUUAAAUCAACACUGAAAGUUUGUUACAUUACAUGUACAUGUUUGUUUUCUGCUGCUAAUUGUUGUCCUAUUCGCGGUUUCUUUUAGUGAUACUAGAUUGUUGUGUGUGUUUUCAUAACAAGCCAAUUUAUAUAUUGAUCACUUAUGAACUGGCUGAGGCAUAAAUCCACAGCGACUGUAGUCUUAUAGCAAGCCAAAAUCAAUAAAAAAUUCAUGUCUCUUCCAACAAAUAUAAACAUAUAAUAGAUUAGGAUUGUGUGCAUCACUAAAACUCCUUCCAAUACACUUAUCAAGUACCCAUCAUGAGUAUACAUUAAGGCACGGCCAUUAAGUUCAAACUCGAAUCAACUUCCAAGUCCACCAGACAAAGACAAAUCCCAGCUCUCCUCUACCAUCACAUUUCUUUCUUGCAAAAAAUCCCUUCUUCGAUAACUGAUGUUACGAUCAAGUUUUUGCAAAUUUAUGUUUCAUUUGUCUUUCGUGCUUUGUAUAUUUAUAAAUAUUAUAUUAUUUAACUGUCAAAGUAGACGGGUGCGGCAACGCGCGCCAUCGAUGAUCUGGUUAGGAUGAAAAAUGAAGCGGAAAUAGACAAAAUUUUAGGCCUUUUCUAAUGAACAAGUGUUUAGAUGAGAUGAUGAGGUGGUCUACUCAGCAACGAACGGAGUACCAAUCGUUGUUCAAGGCGGUGUGUAUGCGGUUGGAGCGGGUGGCCAAGGAGGUUUUUAUCCAACAUGGAUGGCAGCAUGAUCUCCUAAUUGGUCCACCUUAUUGGUCGACAUAGGCAUAAUUUUGGUCUCAUAUGGCUUUACUAUUGCCACUUUGUCAUUUUUAUAUUUUUUUUGUCAGAUUGUUCGUUUGAUGAUUGUGUGUAUCUUAGCUAUGCAGAGGCUGAGCGUGGCUCUUUGUGCUUUGUAUCCGCUCGAUGCUACAUUUUGAAUUAAUAAAAGUGCACUUUAUCAAAAAA
rnacentral:lncRNA from 1 species